UUGCUGUUACUUCUUUUAUUAGAUGAUGAAGGCGUUGGCGUGUCUUCGUUCAAAAAGCUUGCUGUUAUAUCUUUAAAAUCCCAACCUGUCAAAUAACUUGGCUUUGAAACAACUGUGCCAACUUCUAUAUCCCCAGCAAGCAUGGCCACAACGCGUGACAUUGGUGGCCUCAUCGUUGGUGAUGUUUGAGUGCACAAGAGAGCUACUCCUAUCACUCGAAGAGCUUCCUUGUUGUUAAACUCUGUUAAUGUAGGAUCUACAAGCCCCAAACUUUGAUUAUUUUCAUAGAGAUUCCAAGCCUAGAAACAUCAUAUAGACAAUAAUUCAGAUAAAGAUUUAAAAAAUUAAGUUUCUUUAACCAGAAGAAUGCAGAGAUAAGAAAGGAAGAAAGCAGAAUGAAGUUCAAGAUUAUUUUCUUCACCCAUUCGAGAAGAUAAAUCUUUUCCAUAUCCAAACUGUUGUCAGAGUUUGCUCUUCCACUUAUGAUCUCCAAUGCAACAACGCCAAAACUGAAAACAUCGGCCUUCUCUGUCAAGUGUCCGCGCAUUGCAUACUCCGGUGCCAAAUAUCCACUACAAGAUCAAUAGUUACCGAUCAAAAUCUUCAAACUCCAUUGUAUCCAAAAAUUGGAAGAUAAGGCCUGUAUUAUGCACUAUGGAAUUAUCAUUUUUGGAAGAAUGGUAAGAAGAAAUGUUAAAGGAGAUUACACGGUCCCUGAAACUCUUGUGCUGAUGUGGGUUUUCUUGUCAUCAUACAGCUUUGCCAAUCCAAAAUCCGAUAUCUUGGGGCAGAGCUCUGCAUCAAGUAAAAUAUUACUUGCUUUGACAUCUCGAUGUACAAUCCUAGGCCUGGAUUCUUCAUGAAGAUAAGCCAGCCCUCUUGCUGUUCCCAAGCAUAUGCUGAACCUGGUAGGCCAAUCCAGAUGCAAUUCAUUGUCUCCUGCAGAAAUGUUGGCUGCAGUGGUUAGAAAUUUAUGGAGUUACAGAAGGGCAAAUUGACAAUUCAUUUAUCUGCAUGAGGUCUCACUGAGACAUUGUCAAUCAGCUUUAGGAUAGUGAUUGUGGCUAAUUUGCAGUUAUGGACAUUGUCUAAACAAUAUAUUCUGGAUUUAAGAUUACAAAAUAGAUCAUGCUAUUUCCAAAAGUCAGUGACUCAGCACUUUCUUCUUUGAAUUCUUUGCCUCAGCAACCAAGUUAAAACACGGCGUUUGCGCUAUUUUCUACUACUUAUUUGUAGUAAGAAUGAAUUGAUUAUCAUAGAGUAAGAAUGAAUUGAUAAUCAUACCGAAAAAUACUUGAUCGAGGCUUUUGUUUUCAAGAUACUCAUAAACAAGGAGGCGCCUGGCUCCUUCAAUGCAGCAUCCAUACAAUCUCACAAGAUUGCGAUGUUGCACUGCAGAUAUGGUCGCAAUCUCAUUUACAAAUUGAUUCUUCCCUUGGUGAGAUGCUAUUGAAAGUUGCUUCACAGCUAUUACUCUCCCAUCAGAUAGAGUACCCUGUCAAGUACAACAUUUAACAAUUUGAAAAAUAUCCCCUACAUCCUAGUGAAAAUUGCUUUGUUUUCUAGUUGCAAUGUCAGGCUAUGAUCACCCAUUGAUGGCAAAGCCAGGAUGCAAGACAACUAUGAAUUAGCUGUUACCUUGUACACAGGUCCAUAUCCUCCCUCUCCAAGCUUGUUUGAACGGUUAAAGUCUUUUGUUGCAGAUCUCAACUCAGCAUAGCCGAAAAUGUUUGGUUUAGAGCCUAUCCCAACUAGCACUGCAGGCCCAAACCAAGACAAAAAUUAUGGACAGAGUAUAGGAUGGGAUACCAUAACUGUUUGUGAUAUCAAAAUUACAAAAUAAUGAAGGAUUUAUAUGACAAAAGAUGAAUUAAGUGGAACAUCUACCAAUAUGGAAUUACAAAUUCAUUGAGUUUCAUGAACAAGCUUGCUACAACUACUAUUACAUAUUGUUAAAUUGUCAAUGGACUCUUCUUACCUUCCUCAUCAUCGUUGUCUUUUUCUCUCCACAAGUAGAACAUUAUAGAUAUCACUAUCAAGCCCAAAAUUCCAAGAGGUACUGCAAUGCCAACAAUCAACCCUGUGUGGUUCUUAUUCCCCGGAGUACUUGGGGGUAAUCCACUUACAGAUGGUUUGAAAGCUGAGCAGUAAAAACUCAGUUAUUAGGAGCAGAGAAGCAUGUAAGCCAUUUUAUUUAUUAUAUUCCAUCUUAAAUGAAGAUUCACUCGAAUCAUAUGCUUUACCUGAAACGACACUGAGAGCUGAAAUUGCUGGUCCAUAAUUACCUUGUUUAGGUAUGCAGCAGGUCCCUUUACCAGCCCAAAAUAGGUGAAUUUCGAGAUGGUUUUCUGACACAGUAGCACUGAAGUUUUUUAUAAUAGCUCUGUUAGGCCCUCCCGCCUCCUUUGAUAUGUCAAAAUCCUUCCACCGGAGAGUUCCCUAGAAGAUCGACAAUUAGAGAUAGAAUUAUUAUUUCUCAAUGCAUAAAAAGAGAGAGAGAGAGAGAGAGAUUGUAAUCUCGGAAUCACAUGAUCUCCAGCUCCAAAUUUUUGGUUCAGGGCAUUUGUUUACCUGAACAUAGAUAUCAAAAACACGCCUUCCACGACUCUCCCACCUUUCUGUGCUUGGAUCAGGAAAAUUUGUUUCUGCGAAUAACAAGCUUACAUUAUAAGGUCCAUUCACAAGACCCAGGCCAUAGUAUCUAAGUGAUCCGGCGGAUAUCCUUGACGUCUGAUAAAGCUUUGGAGUCCGGGUGCCCGUCACUUGAUCUUGAGUGUUUAGCACAUAAGAUGCAUUUUCUCUUCCAUUAAACAGACCCACUUUACUAACUGCCCAUUUUUCUGUAUUGGUCACAACAAAGGCCGAUGCGCCAAGAUAUGAGUUAUCACCCUCAUACACUAUGUUAUCAGCUCUCAUUUCUGGACUAGCACAUUUGAUUGAGAAGUUUGCAUCUGCAAAUGCAAAGACAAAAAUCGCUAGCUAUUUUCAGAUUGAAUUCCGACAUCAAAUUUCAACAAUUUUUUUGCAUAAAGGUCAAUAACUGGGUAAUAGGAAAUCAUUCAGGCAGUGUUUUUUUUAUUUACACAUCCAGCACGUUACAAAUAUUUUUCAAUUCUCAUCACAUGGAAACUCACUUUAUCACAUCAAAGCUUUUUAAAGCCAAGAUGGCUUAAUACACCAAAUUUACAAUGUAACUACUCUACAAUUUCGACUGACAGUGGUAACAAAAAUUAUCCCCACUUGCAACAAAGCUACCUGAAGUCAUAUUUAAAACUUCUGUACUACUUCCUGCUCUUAUUAAAGUUUUUUCCUCAGCAAUUCAGAAGUAUAGUUAGACAGGCGUUCUUUCUUCUUAAGUGUGGAGCCACAAUAGCUUAUGAAAAUAUGAAACUGCAAACAGCACAGAGAAGGCAGCUUACAUUGUGGAGCAUUUCUAUUGCAUGUGAAGUUCCUCUGAAGACAGUUCAAUCCUGGAAAGACACUGGCAAGCACAGAGAACAAUUAGUUCACAUUAUCUGUUAACAUGAUUAAAAGAAAAGUAAAGGACCAAAACUCACCUUAUGUUUGAUAUGUCAAAUUUGAAGUUGUUCACUGCCAGAUUCCUAUACAGUUCCAUGCAAUGCAUUAAUUGUAAAAUUUUUGGACAGAGAUGCAAGGGCAGGAGACUUCAUGAAAUUCUCAUACAACUGUUAUAGUAGAAUGAUAAAAGUAAAGAAACUAGGACCAUUGGUUUAGUAUGAGCAAUAAGCUUGACAAGGUCUGAACUCCAGCACAAAGAGGCAAUUCUAGAAAAUGAAGAUGAACGGAGCAUUAUCAUAGUUUAAGAGACAUACAUUUGUAAUUCUGAAUUCACCCACAAUGGAAAAGUUCCUGAUAGAUGAUUAUGAGAUAAAUCUCUGCAGGAAAAAUUUUGUUAAGCACUAGUAAACAAGUUCAAACAUGUGAACCAACGUAUAUAUAUGUUAGACAAAUAAAAAACCUGGCUGAGUAUAUUGUUUUGUUGCCAGAGAAAGAAGCCAGAAGUCACAGCUGAUGCAUGCAUGGAAGAUGAUAAUCACUGGCCUAAAUCUAAAACACUUUCAAAUCGAAACAUGCAACGUAUAUUCUCAUGGUUUGAAUUGCAAGUACUGAGGAGAAAAUCAGUGUUUAUCUGUGGGUAUAAGGGCACAUUGAGGAGCAAGCAUAGGGAUGAAUUUCUAGAAUUUUUCUUUCAAUAAAUCAGAAAGCUGAACCAAAGCUUACAUUUUUUGAAGGUUUUCACUUUUUUGAUCAGGAAGUGUUCCUGACAAACUAUUGUUUCCAAGAAACCUGGCCAUUGAAAGCAGCGUAAGCAGCAUUGGCAAUAACAAAACAAUGACCAAAGUCCAAAAGUAAAAAUCUUGAAUUGAUGAAGGAAAGCUUCAAAGAAUUUACAAGUAUUCAAGAGAAUCGAUAUUGAACAAAGUUGCUGGGAUUUGGCCUGUUAAGUUGUUGAAACUCAAGUCCCUGCAAAAUAUAGAUAAAAAUUUUGGGAAAAAUAUAUAUCAAAAUGAGAAAAGGAAAGUGGCACUAUAUAAUUUAUUUCUUAAUAUCAACUUACAAUAUCUGUAACAUUUGAAGCUCUCCAAUUCCAGAUGGAAUAGUACCAGUGAUCAGAGCAUUUCUUAGGGACCUAUGGAGUAGAAGAACAAAAAACCAACUCAUAACUAAUCAGAGUCAAAAUGAGAAGGCUGCCAAACACAAUGAAAUAUAUAGGCAGUAUACUUACAAGUCAUUUAAGUUCUUCAAACUCAUAACGAAAUCAAGAGAUGAACUCACGUUAUAUAUAUCGCCCAUUUGUCUAAACAAUCAAUUCAAACAUCACGGAUAUGAUUCAUGCUUCCAAAGAGAGAAUGAGAGACCAAGAGAUUGUCAGGAAAAGAUUUACUCACAAGGAUUCUAAUGAAGCCAACUUAGACAAACUGGAUGGGAUAGGACCUUGAAAAGAAUUCCCCUGAAAUCUCCUACAGCAACAUUUUGACAAACAUGUUAGGAAAACUAUCAGAAGCCAAGCAAAAUCUUUAAUGCGCUACACAGAACACAGAUAAUGUAUAUAGUCAAGGAGUUAUACGAAGCAUACAAGGACUUAAGCUUAGUCCAAUUGCCAAUGAAGUCUGGUAUUUUGCCUGUAAAAGGAUUAUCUGAUGCCCACCUGAAAUUUAACAAAUUAAUCAAUUUAGGCAGCACAAUCUUUAUGCCGGAGAGAAACAAAAUGUCAUAUGUAAAAAACUUUGCUUACAGAGUUUGCAUAUUGCGAAGUUUAGCAAAUGUGGAGGGAAUUUCACCACCGGCCCCACAACUGUCUAUGUAACUGUUGAAUUUAUCAAUUGAAAAUUACUUUGUUUCAUAAACCUGCAGCUUUGCUAAAUUGAAAAAAAAAAUGAUAAUGAUCAAAUAUGUAAAAAGAAAGAAAGAAAUUUAGAAACUACAGUUGCUCAAGUUUGGCUAAGUUGCCAAGUUCUGGAGGGAGCGCUCCUGAGAAAUUGUUGGUACCAAAAGCACUGCAAUUUGAAAUUAAAAUUUUUACACUGAUUUAAAAGAAGAAGAAGAAGAAUAAAAAUAAAAAUGAAAUUCCAAUCUUACAGAACAGUUAACUCCUUAAGGUUUCCCAGCUCCCUGGGGACAGGCCCCGAGAAGUCAUUGUGGGAAAAUGACCUGUACACAAAAAUAUAACACUCCGUUACACAACACACAAAGAAUAAAGAAUUUGCAGCCUAAUCCAAAAAUCAAAUCAGAGAAUAUUAGAAAAAGCCAAUUUCAAUACUUACAGAAACAUCAAUCGAGACAAAUUUCCAAUAAAUGAAGGCAAGGGGCCAGUGAAGAAAUUUUGAUCAAUUUUCCUACAAAAUUCAAAGAGAAAUUGUUAAUCAUGUUGAUUACAUAAAUUUGAUUUAUACAUACAAACUGAAGGACAGAUAAUAUAUAUAAGUGACAAAUCCAUACAGAACUGUCAGGUAUUGCAAAGUUACUAGCUCUUCAGGAAUCACCCCUUUUUUGUUUAGUCCAUAUACUCUCCUGUGAAAAAAAAAAAACAAACCAUUAGAUUGCAGAUGCAUCAACCAUUUUAGAAAUUAAUAUUAAUUAACAAGCGCAGAGAUAUACUAAGAGAGCAUUACAGUUUAGUAAUGUGGCAAGUAGCACCAUUGUCAAAGGUGCAGUUACAAACAAUAGCAGGAUUGUUAUUUGGGCUCUCAAAUUCAGAAUCAGUUGCAUUGAGUGCAGAUCCACUGCAUGGGUUUCCACUUAUGUUCCAUAAUGGCGCGGCCGGUGCAUCCCAUUGCUGCAGUAUUGAGUUCAGUGCCCUCACUGCUCAUCAAACACAUGCAUGCUAGUUUGUUACCAAAUGAGAUCAUUUAAUUCCAUAAAUUCAUUAACAUAUUGUGAUGCACCUGCAUGCUUGUAAGCCAAACGCCGCUGAUUUUCAAAAGCAACAGCAAGCUGUUUGUUUUAGAGUGCAUUUGGGAUUGAGAUUCGACAGCUGUAACUUAAAAGUUAUAGUAUUUAAGUGUUUAAUAAAUACUAACUGCUGUAUCUUUUAAGCUAUUUUGAUAUGAUUUUUCACUUAUAUAAUGAAAAAUAUAUUAUAUCUUAAUAAUUUUAUCAAAAUUAUUAUUUAAAAAUUAUAUUCAUUAUAUAUUAUUAAUUUUUAUUUUAUAAUUAUAAUUUUUUUUCCACAACAACUGAAGUUUAAAAGCUGCAGCACCUCAAUCCCAAAUAGACUCUUAAUUAGAGCACACGCAUACUUCACAUGCGUGCUUGCCGUGCAUGCUUAUAUACGGUGGGCACAUAUAAAGUGAAGAAUUGAAGCAGCUCUCACCAUUUUCAUAAUCGAACCAUAAAAAACAAUUGGAAGAUAGAAGAAAUUGAAAGAAAACGAGAGAAAGAAAGAAAAGAAAAGAAAAGAAGAGAUAAAAUAGAAAGAAGAAAAUAUAAGGAGAAAAGAAAUUAAGAAGCCAAGAGUGAAAAUCAAGUAAUAAUGAAAGCUAAUACGGGAAAGUUGAGGGGACAUGGAAUUCAACAGUUAGAUUUAUAUUUCGAGAAUUAGUGGAUAAUGGAUUUAGAAAGUAUGAACAGUUAUGUUAUAAUUUUUAGCAUACUUUUGAGUUUUUAUAUCAGUCGUUAAUUUUUUAUAGUAGUUUUUUAGUCUAAAAUUUUAAAGUGUGGAAAAGGUUUGAAAUUUUUUUUAAAUUACACAUCUUUAAAGAAUUAUGAAAUUAACACUUUAAUACUGUAGGAUUUAAAAGAUUUAUUGGACUUUCUCGCACUUUAAAAUUUAAAAUUAGAAAAUUUCUAUAAUUUUUGAAUCUUGUGUUUAAAAGAAAUUUAAGUUCUUAGGAAUUAACAAAAGCCCCACAAAACAAAACAGUAAUUGAGUCAGGAUUUGUGAGAUGAUUUAAUAGUAUGAUUUAGUAGUAUAUCAUGAUUAUAUGUAUGCUCAUUAUAUGAGUGAUUGAAUCCCUAAAUGUGAUUGCCAAGCACCAUAUGUGUACUCUUCUUGUUAAGUACUUUGCGUAUACAUAUUGAGAGUUAGAGUACUAUACCUGUGUGAUGAAGUUAAAUUCCGUUGGAUAUUAAGAGGUUAUUCCUCACUAUAUUCACGCAAUGAUAAUCCCGACGAGUGCGACAAUUAUUUCCCCUGGGUAUUAUUUAGUGCAUUUUUCUCAUGUAUGAUUUUAUGUUUUCUUAUGUAUUAUGUUCAGUGUAGAAUUAUGUCAUAUGAUUGUGUAUAAUUAUUAGUGCACUACUUUAUUUUAAUAUAUAUAAUUGUAUCUACUCAUUGAACUGCAAGUUCACCAUUUUCUUAUUUAUCCAAAUUUUUCUAGGUUUUCGCAGGGUUUCAUACAGUUCAUUUUCCAAUUAGUUGAGGUUGGACCACGACGUGCAGUGCUGCAUGACUUGCAUUUUAAGCACGUUUAUGCUCAUAUGUAUAUAUUUAAGAUAUAUGCAUAUAUAGUAAGAUGUGAAGUGUGCAAAUUUCAAAUAUGCUUUUGAAUAAGGUAUAGAUGUUAUUAUAUAUUUUAACGUGAUGUAGUCGUUCUUUAGUGUGGGUGCCAUUUUUUUAUGCGGCAUGCUUUUAAACCAUGGUAUUUAAGAGAGUUAUGUUUUUUUUACUCUUUUAAGCCAUACGGUUUAAAAACGUGAUAUGCAUUAAAAAAAAAAAAAAAAGAGGGCGCUUGCACCUGAGAAUCAUUUUCAGGUUCGAGUACUUUUUUUUUUUUAAUGUGAACACACUGCUAAACCGUGCGAUUUAGUAGCGUGUCUAGAGUUGACAAAAACACGGCCUUGAAGUCUGGUCGACAUGAGUUGGGCCUGAAUAUGGGUUGAAAAAUAUAAAGUCGACACAAAUUGGAUCUAAAUAAGGGCCUAGCUUUUUAAUUUAUACAAAAAAAAAUUAAAUUUAAAUAAAAAACUCAAAAUAUUAAAUUAAUAUUUUUUUCAUAUUAGUAUUUGUGAUUUAUUAUGUUGUGUUAUUUUGUGUAUUAGACUAUUAUUCUAUUAUCUAUUGGAUAAUUAUUUUUUAUUUAAAUAUUUUUUAUUUUAUUAAAAAAUUAUUUUAUAUUUAAUGGAACAAGCCCAAGUCUGGCUCAAGGCCUGUCCAUCCAAACUUGGACUUAUCUAGGCUUGUUGUCUACAAUAUGGACAUGGGCUCAGGCUUGGAAAAAACUUAAAUAAGUCCAUAUUUUGCCAACCUAAACGUGUUUGUAUUGACUCUAUUAAAUUGCACAAUUUAACAAUGCAUUCGUAUGAAAAAAAAAAAGAGCUCACACAUUAGAGAAUGGCUAUAUAUGUACACUUUAGAGUUAAUGCACUUUAGAUAUGAUUAUAUAUAAAAUCAAUAUCUGUUUUUUUUUUAUUAUUAAUUAAAGAGUGAAUACGUACAACAAAUUUUAAAUUAGAAGAUUUUGAAUUCCCUCGUGUACGAUGUAAAAGUAUAAACACAGUUAACAAAUUUGAUAAAAAUUAAAUUAAGAGUUUCUAGCAAAGAAUGCCAAAAUUCAGUCCUGCCUCUAAAUUAAUUAAGUUAUCGCCUUUUUUUUUUUUUGGCCCUUUUGCGGUGGGGGUGGUGGCGUAUGGAAUGAACAUUUAUAUCGUACUGUUUGGGAUAUAAUUUGGAAGGUUUAGGAUCACUCUUUUUCAGAACGUUUCAACUCAUUUAUUAAGAAGGAUCCACAUGCUUGACUAAUAGGGGCUUGAAACCAGGCAGCGAAGAUAGUCCUUAAUUAUUGUAUGUAUCUAUGAUAUAUCUCAAUGUGAAAAUUUCAAUUAUUAUAAUUAUUAUAUUGAAAAAAAAAAGUGGUCCCAUUAGAUGAAGAAAUUAUUGAAGUUAAAUAGUUAAAGGUCUUUAUAUAUGUAGCCUCGUUUGUUUGAAGUCUAAAGAGAUAAUAAUGUGAAAUAUAUGAUUUAGGAAAAUAAAUUGGAAUUGCACAACUACUUUCACUUUUUGGAAACAGAAAAAGUCCACGAUUUUUUUUUUAGGAAUUUUAGGACUCAGAAUUAUAUAAAUAUAAAAUUUUAGAAAGUUAAUUAAUAUAAAAGCUCACUGUGCAUAUAAAGUUAAUUGUUUUCAGAAAAGAACCAAGCUACUACACAUACACAUAAUUAAUUUAUGUCAAAUUAAACAAAGAAAAGAAAAAAGAAAAAGAAAAGAAAAGAAAACGGCGGGCGGUGGCUGGCUAGCAAGAGAAUUAAUUAACGAGGAGAAAUUAAAUGUGUUAAAGAAAAUGGAUAUAUAUACCUUCAGCAGGGUCGGUCGUAGCAUUGGUGUUAUGUUGAGCGUUGGAUAAACAAAUUAGCAGGAAGAGAUGAGCGAAUAGUAGUGAGGAAGAAAGCAGCAGCUUCAACGAUCCCACUCCAAAAUUCAUCUUCAUUUCUCGUUACAAUUUACAAACCCAGAAUAAGGAGAAUUUAAUGCUAAUUUUUGAAUCUAUAGUUUUGUUAAAGUUAAAGAAUAUGUAGAAGAAGAAGAAGCUGGCCAGAGUCAGUCAAUAUUUGUCUUUUUCUCCAGUGUCGUGCAAGCAUUUUAAGUCGUUCCAUCUAUCAAAGAAAAGUCGUUCAAAAACAAAAUAAAAAAUAAAAUAAAAUAAAAAUGUAUCAGAAUUGACCAAAUUCAACUCUCAUAUGUGCAUAAUAAAAACAAUAUAAUACAUUGCAUCUUAACCAAUACGAUGAAAUCUUAGUGUCUCUUUCCCACCCUCACCGGAUUAUUAUCAUCCACAGCACUUUUGCCGACGCAAACUCAACAUAAAAUUGUAUCAACAUAUUCAAUUUAGAAGAACGCAGAGUGUUACUCCCAGGGACACAGUACAUUUGUACACACCCACAGCAGAAGAGGGGGAAAACAAUAUCUGCACAUGCGGAAGAAGCAAAGCAAUGAAUUAAUCAGAGUCUAGACGUUGGCUGAAUUGUCGGGCUUGAAUUUAGUAGCAGCAGCAGCAGGAGGGGAUGGGUAAGUGAAUGUAGUAGCUUCACUGCCUGUGCCUGGCUGUCAAGGAAGCUCAUAUUUGCAAGAGCAGAGGAUCACAGCAGCAGCCACAUUCAGUUACGAGUUGAUGAUAUGGCAUGCCAGCUGGAGUCUGGUGGUUAUGUAAAUAGUUGUGCAUGUGUUAAUUAGCUUAAGCUGUUAUGAUUAGUUGUUAGAAUCAGUUAAUUAGCUGUAGCUAAUUACAACUAUCUAAGCUGAGCUUCAGCUUAGUAUAAAUAGCAACAGCAUUGUGUAUAUCAUUAAUAACAUGAUUAAUGAAAAUGAUGUUCUAGAAAACUCUUAGAUUCCGUUCUUAUUUUCUCAUUGAUUUUCUCAGUUGCCAAACAAUAUUUUCAUUCUUCAACUUGGUAUCAGAGCUAGUAGCAAUGGUUUCAGUCCAUCUAGUUUCUUUUUCUUCUCAAGCGCCAGUCAAUCACACAACUGUUAACUCAACAAAUGUGACAUUCACUUUCAAUACACCUAUUAAGCUAGAUCAAUCCAAUUAUUUGAUUUGGCGAUCUCGAGUUCUUGCUUUAAUUCGUGGCAACAGACUUGAGAAAUUCAUUGAUGACUCAACCACUCCACCUCCUUCACACAUUGCUCAAAGAAUUAGAGAUGAUCUGAGAUCUGUAGAGAAUCUAGACUUUGUAACUUGGAGAUCACAAGAUCAGGUGCUUCUUGGCUGGUUGCUUUCUUCAAUGAGUGAAGGUAUCAUUAGUCUAGUUUUCAAUCUAGAGACUUCUCAUGAGGUAUGGAAAGCUAUUGAAGUUCAAUUUGGAUCACAAUUUAAAUCUAGGCUUCUACACUUGAGAUAUAUGAUGAACUCAACUAGGAAAGAUGAUCUAAAAAUUACUGAUUAUUUCAUUAAGAUGAAAAAUAUUGUUGAUAAUAUGGCUGCAGCAGGAAAUGCAUUAAGUGAUGAUGAUUUAAUUCUGCAUAUACUCUUUGGCUUAGGUCCAGAUUAUAACUCUAUUGCUACCUACAUUACUGGACAAGUAAGAGUGAGGAAAAUGAAUGUAAACGAAGCUUAUGCUAUGCUCCUAACUCAAGAAGUUAGGAUUGAACAACAAACUCAUAUGCUGGCUAAUACAGAUGUGAAACAAAAUUUUGAGGCUAAUCUUGCUCACAACAGAGGUUAUAAAAGGGGAAAUAUGUCAGGAGGAAAAGGUUUUGGUGGCUUUGGAUAUAAUUCUGGCUAUGGAAACAUUAACAGUGCUGGCUAUAAAGGAGGUUAUGGAGGCUCUGGAUUUAAUGCUAACAGUGGAAAUGCUUAUGGCACCAAUCAUCAGUUCAAAGCUUAUCAAGGAGAUAAUCAGAGAGGUUGAGGAGGAGGUAACUGGAAUUAAAAUGCUUGAAAUAGUGGAUUUAACAAUAGUAGACCGCUUGGAAACAUUAAACCUCAGUGGAAUGUCUCUAAGCCAACCUGUCAAAUCUGUUUCAGAACAGGUCACACUGUUAAUAUUUGCUAGAAACUUGAAGAGUUUAUUGCAUCUGGAGCUUACAGACCACCACCAAACAGAAAUCCAAAAUCUACAUAUUUGGCUAAUAUGGAGGGACCUGCUGAUGCAAAUUAGUAUCUGGAUAGUGGUGCAACACACCAUCUGACAAAUGAUAUCAACAAUAUGCAUGUUUCUAAAGCUUUUGUAGGUACAUCUAAACUUUUUGUUGGCAAUGGUGCUGGAUUAAAUAUAACACACAUUGGAAGUGCUGCAUCGAAAUCAUAUAACUCCAAUAAUGCCUCCUUUAACUCUUAAACUAAAUGAUAUCCUUUUAGUGCCACAAAUUACUAAAAACCUCAUUAGCAUCUCUAAGCUCACAAAAGAUAAUGACGUUGUGAUAGAGUUUACUGAUAACUUUUGUUUUGUGAAGGACAAGGUGAGGAAUUUGAUCAUACUGCAGGGCAAGGCUGAAAAAUAUUUAUACAAAUUGCUAUUGGUUGCAUCUAAUAAGAUAGUCUCUUCUACUUCUAAUCAAAGCUAUGUUGUGGAGUUAAUUGUAUCAACUACUCCUCUUUCAAUGUUUUCAGUUGUCAAUUCUACUAUUUCAAAUAACACCUCUUGCCUGUAUACUGCAGCAACUUCUUGUAAAAAUUGAGUGUUUGUUAAGUACAUCUGUACUGCAUCAAAGAUUGGGAUAUCUAUCUUCUAAGAUCUUGAAUCAUGUAAUCAAAUCAUGUUCAUCUCUCAAUCUUGUCAAUAAGAAUAAAACCUUUUAUUUAUGUGAUGCUUGUAAAAUAGGAAAAAUGCACAAGCUUCAUUUUCCAGCUACUGAUAUCAAAACAAAGUCUCCCCUGGAAAUAUUACAUACUGAUUUAUGGGGACCAGUCCCUGUGAUUUCAUUACAAGGCUACGUAUAUUAUGUAAGCUUUAUUGAUGAUUUCACAAGAUUUACUUGGAUAUUUCCUUUGAAAACCAAAAGUAAAACAUUGUCAGUCUAUAAAAUUUUCAAAAACCAAAUUGAAAAACAACUUGACAGACCUAUAAAAUGUCUUCAAUCAUACCGGGGUGGAGAAUUUAGAUCCUUUGUUAACUUUCUUCACACUGAGGGAAUUCACUUUAGACAUUUAUGUUCAUAUACUCAUAACCAAAAUGGAAUUGUAGAGAGAAAUCAUAGACAUAUUACCAAACUUAGUCUUACUCUACUUGCACAAGCAACUUUACCUAUUAAAUUCUAGUGGGAUUCUUUCCAUACAGCCACAUACAUCAUAAACAGAUUACCCACCCCAAUUCUAUCAAUGAAAUCUCCUUAUGAAUCUAUCUAUCAUCUUCCUCCAGAUUACAAAUUCUUAAGAACAUCUGGAUGUUCAUGUUUUCCCUUUCUUAGAAACUACAAUCAACACAAGUUUCACUCUCAUACAUCUAAAUGUAUUUUCCUGGGGUAUAGUCAUUUGCAUAAGGGUUACAAAUGUGUCAAUCCCUCUGGUAAAAUCUAUAUAGCUAGUCAUGUUAUUUUUUUAUGAAACCUCAUUUCCAUAUUCAUAUAUUUUCAGCUCAUAUUCUCCAUCCAAAUCUUCUGAAUUUCAAUACAAUCUUCUUCAACAGUAUAUUAUUCAUGUUUCCAAUAGCAAUUUAAACACCUUUGAAGUCGAUACUGUAGAUAAUGAUACAUAUUCUCAUCACCUUCAUACCAUAUCUUCACCACUCUUUCACAAUACAUCAUCUCAACCCUCACCACCUGCUACUUUAUCCCAUUCAGCCAUAACUUCUUAACCAACUCAACCAAUUCCCUUUAUACCUCUAACUGAUACAACACAAAAUACAUCAUCCUUACAACCCAUCAUAUCUCACUCUCAAAUUCAACCAACACACUUAUCUAAACCUAAACCAAUUCUCUCCACACAUAAAAUGAUCACUAGAGCAUAAGCUGAGAUAUUCAAACCGAAAGCCUACUUAACAAAUCACAACAGCCCGGAACCAUCUACUGUUUCAGAAGCAUUAUCUGAUCCCAAACGGAAAGCAGCAAUGCAAACUGAAUAUAAUGAUAUGAUUAAAAACAAAACUUGGAAUCUUGUGGCUUUGUGCUCAACCUAUAAACUAGUUGGGUGCAAAUGGGUGUUCAGAACCAAGUACAACAUAUAUGGCUCAGUUUCAAAAUAUAAAGCUAGGUUGGUAGCCAAGGGAUUUCAUCAAACUGCAUGUAUUGAUUAUUCAGAAACAUUCAAUCUUGUAAUGAAGUCCUCAACAAUGAGAUUAAUUCUUAGCCUAGCUGUCAUGAAAGGUUAGACAAAUUGAUGUCAAUAAUGCCUUUUAAAUGGGGAUUUGUCAGAGGAUGUGUAUAUGAUUCAGCUUGAGGGUUUUGUAUCCAAAGAAGGCUACAUAUUCAAGCUUAACAAGGUACUAUAUGGAUUGAAACAAGCUCCAAGAGCUUGGUAUGAUAAACUGAAAAGCUAUCUUACUACUUGAAAAUUCUUCAAUUCUAAAGCUGACACGUCUCUCUUUGUUGAACAUGAUGAAAAAGGCAUUAUUAUUGUCUUAAUCUAUGUUGAUGAUAUUUUGGUUACUGGCCCUGACUCAGCAUUACUUGAAGAUUUCAUUAUUAAACUCAGUAAGGUUUUUGCUCUCAAGGACUUAGGAUUAGUGGCCUAUUUUCUUGGAGUAGAAGUUUGUUACACAACUCAUGGAAUGCAUCUUUCACAGACAAAAUAUAUUAAGGAUUUGUUAAGUAAAGCCUCAAUGCAAAAUUGCAAAGGAUCAGAUACACCUUUUAGUACUGGUUUCAAACUGGAGAAAAAUGUUAAGGGUCCAUUGGGGCAAGAAUUUGAAGAACCAGCACUUUAUGGAAGCGUCAUUGGGGGACUUCAGUACUUAAUUCUCACCAGGCCUGACAUUGCAUAUUCUGUACAUAAACUCAGCCAGUAUCUUAGCAAUCUUACACUCCAGCACUGGUUAGCAUGCAAGAAAGUUCUCAGGUAUCUUCAAGCUACAACCACUCAUGGUUUAUACAUUCAAAAUGAGGGAACACUUGGAAUUGCAGGUCUAACAGGUUACUCUGAUGCUAACUUGGCACGUGAUGUUGAUGAUAAAAAAUCUAUUGGAGCUUACUGUAUUUACCUUGGUAAUAAUCUGAUUUCCUGGUCAUCAAAAAAGCAAGUUAUUGCAGCUAAGUCCAGCACAAAGAGUGAAUACAGGGCACUAUCUUCAGCAAGUUCAGAACUCUCUUGGUUGCAAUCCCUACUAUCAGAGCUUAAUAUUGUGCAAUUACCAACUCCAAUUCUUUGGUGUGACAAUCAGAGUGCUGGAGAAUUAGCCCGAAAUCAUAUUCUUCACUCUAAAUCUAAACACAUUGAAUUGGGUGUUCAUUACAUUAGAGACAAAGCGCUUGGAAAAGAAUUAGAAGUAAAAUACAUUCCUACUGAAGAACAAGUUGUUGAUGUCCUUACUAAAGCUCUGUCAUUUAUCAAGGUUUACUACUUUUGAUUCAAGCUCAAUGUCAUCAACAGGCCAUUGAGCUUGAGGGGGGGAUGUUAAGGAAGCUCAUAUUGCAAGAUGGUCAGCAGAGCAGAGGAUCACAGCAGCAGCCAUAUUCAGUUACGAGUUGAUGACAUGGCAUGCCAGCUAGAGCCUGGUGGUUAUGUAAAUAGUUGUGCAUGUGUUAAUUAGCUUAAGCUGUUAUGAUUAGUUGCUAGAAUUAGUUAAUUAGCUGUAGCUAAUUACAACUAUCUGAGUUGAGCUUCAACUUAGUAUAAAUAGCAACAGCAUUGUACAUAUUAUUAAUAACGUGAUUAAUGAAAAUGAUGUUCUAGAACACCCUUAGAUUCAGUUCUAAUUUUCUCACUGAUUUUCUCUGUUGCCAAACAAUAUUUUCGUUCUUCAACUCUGGCGGAGGCGUUGGCACCCCAAAAACUUGUGGAUUGGUUCUGAUAUCUUGUCUUCCUCUAGCUCUUCCCAAGUAAAAGCACCCAAAUCCAAGCAAUAGGCUGAACAACAUCAACGGAAUGAUAUCACCACCACCAUACCCAUCUUUAUUUGAUUUGAUGAUCAGAAAUCGCAGCAGAAGAGAGGUUUAUAUAAGAAUAAGAGAAUGAGAGAGAGCUAUGAAUGAACUAUGAUGAUGAUGAUGACGAUGAUACGGAGGUUUCGGAUUCUCUCUUCUUUUAAGAACAUGUUUCUUUCUUAACGGUUGGCUUAACGUUCAAGCUCUAACGGUUACUUUUAUUGUUGGGCCAGUUAAAUAAUUCUCCUAAUACAAAACAACGUUAAAUAAAUAUUGAGAUGGCUAUUCAUCCCGCAAUUAUAAAGGUAUAGUAUUUUGUUCAUUCUUGUUUAAAAAAAAAAAAAAGACUCUAUAGAGUUCAAUGUAUGGAGCCUUCUCAUGGUGUUCGGAUUCAACAUGUGCCAAAGUCCUCUAAUCAGCCGACCCAUUUUCUAUCUAAACUAACUUUUAACUGAAAGCUAUGAUUUCAUAAUUUUUAAACCAGUGUACUGGAAAAUGAAGCGAAAAAGAAGAUGGAAAGAUGAAGAAUAAUAAUACAACAUGCUUGUUACCUCAAUACAUUAAUAAGGGUAAUUAACGGUCUACAAAUACAUUUUGUUUAUUAUUUUGAGGACUUGUUUCAUUUUAUUUACGUGCAUUGAUGUCUUCCCAAAAUCAGAAGUUUUUAAUGAACUUCGACAAUGUUGCCUGCCACUCGUAGUCAUAGAACAGUAUUUCGUGCUGCACAUAUGCAUGUACUGUAAUUGCUAGAAAUAGCUCGACGGGAGAAAUUUAAGGCACCAUAAGAAGCAGAUCAUUCCACCACCACAAGGCUGCUUUUGUUUCAGAAACUGUCAAAUAGUAAGAUCACAGCCGCGACGCGACAAAAAUAUUUCUCACCUCCCUUCUGCUAUAAUAUCACUUAGCUGUGUGACAUUUACUGGGGAGACUAAUGCAUUAGUUCCUUCACUAUGAUCAUCAACUGGAUUUUCUCUUUCGCUUUUCUCCUUGCUGUUACUUCUUUUAUUAGAUGAUGAAGGCGUUGGCGUGUCUUCGUUCAAAAAGCUUGCUGUUAUAUCUUUAAAAUCCCAAUCUGUCAAAUAACUUGGCCUUGAAAUAACUGUGCCAACUUCUACAUCCCCAGCAAGCAUGGCCACAACGCGUGACAUUGGUGGCCUCAUCAUUGGUGAUGCUUGAGUGCACAAGAGAGCUACUCCUAUCACCCGAAGAGCUUCCUUGUCGUUAAACUCUGUUAAUGUAGGAUCUACAAGCCCCAAACUUUGAUUAUUUUCAUGGAGAUUCCAAGCCUAGAAACGUCAUAUAGACAAUAAUUCAGAUGAAGAUUGAAAGAAUUAAGUUUCUUUAACCAGAAGAAUGCAGAGAUAAGAAAGAAAAGGAAGCAGAAUGAAGUUCAAGAUUAUUUUCUUCACCCAUUCGAGAAGAUAAAUCUUUUCCGUAUCCAAACUGUUGUCAGAGUUUGCUCUUCCACUUAUCAUCUCCAACGCAACAACGCCAAAACUGAAAACAUCGGCCUUCUCUGUCAAGUGUCCGCGCAUUGCAUACUCCGGUGCCAAAUAUCCACUACAAGCUCAAUAGUUACUGAUCAAAAUCUCCAAACUCCAUUGUGUCCAAAAAUUGAAAGAUAAGGCGUGUGUGGAAUUAUCAUUUUUGGAAGAAUGGAAUGAAGAAAUGUUGAAGGAGAUUACAUGGUCCCUGCAACUCUUGUGCUGAUGUGGGUUUUCUUGUCAUCAAACAGCUUUGCCAAUCCAAAAUCUGAUAUCUUGGGGCAGAGCUCUGCAUCAAGUAAAAUAUUACUUGCUUUGACAUCUCGAUGUACAAUCCUAGGCCUGGAUUCUUCGUGAAGAUAAGCCAGCCCUCUUGCUGUUCCCAAGCAUAUACUGAACCUGGUAGGCCAAUCCAGACGCAAUUCAUGGUCUCCUGCAGAAAUGUCGGCUGCAGUGGUUAGAAAUUUAUGGAGUUACAGAAGGGCAAAUUGAUAAUUCUAGGGUAAUUUAUCUGCAUGAGGUCUCACUGAGACAUUGUCAAUCAGCUUUAGGAUAGUGAUUGUGGCUAAUUUGCUGUUAUUGACAUUGUCUAAACAACAGAUUUUGGAUUUAAGAUUACAAAAUAGAUCAUGCAAUUUCCAAAAGUCAGUGACUCAGCACUUUCUUCUUUGAAUUCUUUGCCUCAGCAACCAAGUUAAAACACGGCGUUUGCGCUAUUUUCUACUAAUUAGUAGUAAGAAUGAAUUGAUUAUCAUACAGUAAGAAUGAAUUGAUAAUCAUACCGAACAAUACUUGAUCGAGGCUUUUGUUUUCAAGAUACUCAUAAACAAGGAGGCGCCUGGCUCCUUCAAUGCAGCAUCCAUACAAUCUCACAAGAUUGCGAUGUUGCACUGCAGAUAUGGUAGCAAUCUCAUUUACAAAUUGAUUCUUCCCUUGGUGAGAUGCUAUUGAAAGUUGCUUCACAGCUAUUACUCUCCCAUCAGAUAGAGUACCCUGUCAAGUACAACAUUUGGCAAUUUGAAAACAUAUCGACUACAUCCUAGUGAAAAUUGCUUUGUUGUCUAGUUGCAAUGACAGGCUAUGAUCACCCAUUACAAGUACUGGAUGGCAACGCUAGGAUGAAAGAAAACUAUCAAUUGGCUGAAAUCUUAAUAUGUAUAGUUACCUUGUACACAGGUCCAUAUCCUCCCUCUCCAAGCUUGUUUGAAGGGUCAAAGUCUUUUGUUGCAGAUCUCAACUCAGCAUAGCUGAAAAUGUUUGGUUUAGAGCCUAUCCCAACUAGCACUGCAGGUUCAACCAAGACAAAAAUUAUGGACAGAGUAUAGGAUGGGAUACCAUAACUGUUCGUGAAUAUCAAAAUUACAAAAUAAUGAAGGACUUAUAUUACAAAAGAUGAAUUAAGCAGAACAUUUACCAAUAUGGAAUUACAAAUUCAUUGAGUUUCAUGAACAAGCUUGCGAAACUACUAUUACAUAUUGUAAAAUUGUCAAUGGACUCUUCUUACCUUCCUCAUCAUCGUUGUCUUUUUCUCUCCGCAUGUAGAACACUAUAGAUAUCACUACCGAUCCUAAAAUUCCGAGAGGGACUGCAAUACCAACAAUCAAACCUGUGUGACUCUUCUUCCCUGGAGUACUUGGGGGUAAUCCACUUGCAGUUGGUGGGAAAGCUGAGCAGAAAAAACUCAGUUAUUACCAGCUGGAAGAGGCAUAUAAGCCAUUUUAUUUAUUAUAUUCCAUCUUAAAUGAAGAUUCACUCGAAUCAUAUGCUUUACCUGAAACAACACUGAGAGCUGAAAUUGCUGGUCCAUAAUUACCUUGUUCAGGUAUGCAGCAGGUCCCUUUACCAGCCCAAAAUAGGUGAAUUUCGAGAUGGUUUUCUGACACAGUAGCACUGAAGUUUUUUAUAAUAGCUCUGUUAGGCCCUCCCGCCUCCUUUGAUAUGUCAAAAUCCUUCCACUGGAGACGUCCCUAGAAGAUAGACAAUUAGAGAUAGAAUUAUUAUUUCUCAAUGCAUAAAGAGAGAGAGAGAGAGAGAGAGAGAGUUGUAAUUUCGGAAUCACAUGAUCUCCAGCUCCAAAUUUUGGUUCAGGGCAUAUGUUCACCUGAACAUAGAUAUCAAAAACACGCCUUCCAAGACUCUCCCACCUUUCUGUGCUUGGAUCAGGAAAAUUUGUUUCUGCAAAUAACAAGCUUACAUUAUAAGGUCCAUUCACAAGACCCAGGCCAUAGUAUCUAAGUGAUCCGGCAGAUAUCCUUGACGUCUGAUAAAGCUCUGGGGUCCUGGUGCCAGUCACUUGUGCUAGAGUGUUUAGCACAUACGCUGGAUUUUCUCUUUCAUUAAACAAACCCACUUUACUAACUGCCCAUUUUUCUGUAUUGGUCACAACAAAGGCCGAUGCGCCAAGAUAUGAGUUAUCACCCUCAUACACUAUGUUAUCAGCUCUCAUUUCUGGACUACCACAUUUGAUUGAGAAGUUUGCAUCUGCAAAUGCAAAGACAAAAAUUUCUAGCUAUUUUCAGAUUGAAUUCCGACAUCAAAAUUUCACCAACAUUUUUGCAUAAAAGUCAAUAACUGGGUAAAGAGAAAUCAUUCAGGCAAUUUUUUUUUUUUUUUUUAAUUACACAUCCGGCACUCUACAAAUAUUUUUCAAUUCUCAUCACAUGCGAACUCUCUUUAUCACAUCAAAGCUUUUUAAAGCUAAGAUGGCUUAAUACACCAAAUUUAUAAUGUAACUACUCUACAAUUUCGACUGACAGUGGUAACAAAAAUUGUCCCCACUUGCAACACAGCUACCUGAAGUCAUAUUUAAAACUUCUGUACUACUUCUUGCUCUUUUUUUCCUCCGCAAUUCAGAAGUAUGGUUAGACAAGCGUUCUUUCUUCUAAAUGUGAAACUACAAUAACUUAUAAAAAUAUGAUACUGCAAACAGCAGACAGAAGGCAGCUUACAUUGUGGAGCAUUUCUAUUGCACGGGAAGUUCCUCUGAAGACAGCUCAAUCCUGGAAAGACACUGGCAAGCACAGAGAACAAUUAGUUCACAUUAUCUGUUAGCAUGAUUAAAAGAAAAGUAAAGGACCAAAACUCACCUUAUGUUUGAUAUGUCAAAUUUGAAGUUGUUCACUGCCAGAUUCCUAUACAGUUCUAUGCAAUGCAUUAAUUGUAAAAUUUUUGGACAGAGAUGCAAGGGCAACAGACUUCAUGAAAUUCUCAUACAACUGUUAUAGUUAAAUGAUAAAAGUAAAGAAACUAGGACCAUUGGUUUAGUAUGAGCAAUAAGCUUGACAAACUCUGAACUCAAGCACAAAGAGGCAAUUCUAGAAAAUGAAGACGAACGGAGCAUUAUCAUAUUUUAAGAGACAUACAUUUGUAGUUCUGAAGUUGCCCACGAUGGAAAAGUUCCUGAUAGAUGAUUAUGAGAUAAAUCUCUGCAGGAAACAUUUUGUUAAGCACCAGUAAAUGAGUUCGAACAUGUGAACCAACCAACAUAUACAUAUGUUAGACAAGUAAAAAAUCUGGCUGAGUAUAUUGAUUGGUUGCCAGAGAAAGAGGCCAAAAGUCACAACUGAUGCACGCAUGGAAGAUGAAAAUCACUGGCCUAAAUCUAAAACACUUUCAAAUCGAAACAUGCAAUGUAUAUUCUCAUGGUUUGAAUUGCAAGUACAGAAGAGAAAAUCAGUGUUUAUGUCUGGAUAUAAGGGCACAUUGAGGAACAAGCAUAGGGAUGAAUUUCUAGAAUUUUUCGUUAAAUAAAUCAGAAAGCUGAACCAAAGCUUACAUUUUUUGAAGUUUUUCACUUUUUUCAUCAGGAAGUGUUCCCGACAAACUAUUGUUUCCAAGAAACCUGGCCAUUGAAGCAGUAAAAGGAGCAUCAGCAAUAACAAAACAAUGACCAAAGUCCAAAAGUAAAAAUCUUGAAUUGAUGAAGGAAAGCUUCAAAGAAUUUACAAGUAAUUAAGAGAAGAUAUAUUGAACAAAGUUGCUGGGAUUUGGCCUGUUAAGUUGUUGAAACUCAAGUCCCUGCAAAAUAUAGAUAAAAAUUUUGGGAAAAAUAUAUAUCAAAAUGAAAAAAGGAAAGUGCCACUAUAUAAUUUAUUUCUUAAUAUCAACUUACAAUAUCUGUAACAUUUGAAGAUCUCCAAUUCUAGAUGGAAUUGUACCAGUGAUCAGAGCAUGUCUUAGGGACCUAUGGAGCAGAAGAACAAAAAACCAACUGAUAACUAAUCAGUUUCAAAAUGAAAAGGCUGCCAAACACAAUGAAAUAUAUAGGAAGUAUACUUACAAGUCAGUUAAGUUCUUCAAACUCAUUACGAAAUCAAGAGAUGAACUCACAUUAUAUAUAUCGCUGAUUCGUCUACAGAAUCAAUUCAAACAUCACGGAUAUGAUUCAUUCUUCCAGAGAGAGAAUGAGAGACCAAGAGACUGUCAGAAAAAGAUUUACUCACAAGGAUUCUAACGAAGCCAACUUAGACAAACUGGACGGAAUAGGACCUUGAAAAGAAUUCCCUUGAAAUCUCCUACAGCAACAUUUUGACAAACAUGUUAGGAAAGCUGUCAGAAGCCAAGCAAAAUCUUUAAUGCCCUACACAGAACACAGAGAAUGUAUAUAGUCAAGGAGUUUUUUGAAGCAUACAGGGACUUGAGCUUAGUCCAAUUGCCAAUGAAGUCAGGUAUUUUGCCUGUAAAAGGAGCGUCUGAUGCCCACCUGAAAUUUAACAAAUUAAUCAAUUUAGGCAGCAUAAUCUUUAUACAAGAGGAGAAACAAAAUGGCAUAUGUAAAAAACUUUGCUUACAGAGUUUGCAUACUACGAAGUUUAGCAAAUGUAGAGGGAAUUUCACCACCGGCCCCACAACUGUUUAUGUAACUGUUGAAUUUAUCAAUUGAAAAUUACUUUGUUUCAUAAACCUGCAGCUUUGCUAAAUUGAAAAAAAAAAUGAUAAUGAUCAAAUAUGUAAAAAGAAAGAAAGAAAUUUAGAAUCUACAGUUGCUCAAGUUUGGCUAAGUUGCCAAGUUCUGGAGGGAGUGUUCCUGAGAAAUCGUUGGUACCAAAAGAACUGCAAUUUGAAAUUAAAAGUUAUACACUGAUUUAAAAGAAGAAGAAGAAAAAAUUGUUGAAAAAGAAAUGCCAUCUUACAGAAUAGUUAAUUCCUUAAGGUUUCCUAGCUCCCUGGGGACAGGCCCCGAGAAUCCAUUGUGGGCAACUGACCUGUACACAAAAAUAUAGCACUGCAUUAGACAACACACAAAGAAUAAAUAAUUUGCAGCCUAAUCCAAAAAUCAAAUCAGAGAAUAUUAGAAAAAGCCAAUUUCAAUACUUACAGAAGCAUCAAUCGAGACAAAUUUCCAAUAAAUGAAGGCAAGGGGCCAGUGAAGAAAUUUUGAUCAAUUUUCCUACAAAAUUCAAAGAGAAGUUGUUAAUCGCGAUGAUUACGUAAAUUUGAUUUAUACAUACAAACUGAAUGGCAGAUAAAAUAUCUGAGUGAAAAAUCCAUACAGAAAUGUCAGGUACUGCAAAGUUACUAGUUCUUCAGGAAUCACCCCUUUUUUGUUUAGUGCAUAUACUCUCCUGUGACCAAAAAAAAAAAAAAAACAAACAAACCAAUCCAUUAGAUUGCAGCUGCAUCAGCGAUUUCAGAAAUUAAUAUUAAUUAACAAGCGCAGAGAUAUAUUAAGAGAGCAUUACAGUUUAGUAAUGUGGCAAGUAGCACCAUUGUCAAAGGUACAGUCACAAACAAUAGCAGGAUUGUUAUCUGGGCUCUCAAAUUCAGAAUCAGUUGCAUUUAGUGCAGAUCCACUGCAUGGCUCUCCACUUAUGUUCCAUAAUGGCACCGCCGGUGCAUCCCAUUGUUGCAGUAUUGAGUUCAGUGCCCUCACUGCUCAUCAAACACAUGCAUGCAUGGUAGCUUUGUUACCAAAUGAUAUCAUUUAAUUCCAUAAAUUCAUUAAUAUAUUGUGAUGCACCUGCACGCUUGUAAGCAAAACGCGGCUGAUUUUCAAAAGCAACGGCAAGCUGUUUGCUUUAAUUAGAGCACACGCAUGCUUCACCUGCGUGCUUGUCAUGCAUGCUGAUAGACGGUGGGCACAUAUAAAGAUAGAAGAAAUUGAAAGAAAACGAGAGAAAGAAAGAAAAGAAAAGAAGAGAUAAAAUAGAAAGGAGAAAAUAAAAGCAAAAGAGAAAGAAAAUAAAAGGAGAAAAGAAAUUAAGAAGCCAAGAGUGAAAAUCAAGUAAUAAUGGAAGCUAAUAAGGGAAAGUUACGGGGACAUGAAUUCAACAGUUACAUUUAUAUUUCGAGAAUUAGUGGAUAAUGGAUUUAGAAAGUAUGAACAGUUAUGUUAUAAUUUUUAGCAUACUUGUGAGUUUUUGAGUUUUUAUAUCAGUUGUAAAUUUUUUAUAGUAGGAUUUUAGUCCAAAUUUUAAAGUGUAGAAAAAGUCUGGAAAAUCUUUAAAAUUGUAUAGUUUUAAAGAAUUAUGAAAUUAAUACUUUAAAAUUGUAGGGUUUUAAAGUUUUGUCGGACUUUCUCGCACUUUAAAAUUUUGCAUUGAAAAUUUUUUAUAAUUUUUUAAUCUUGUGUUUAAAAGAAAUUCAAGUUUCUAGGAAUUAACAGAAGCCCCACAAAAAAAAACAGUAAUUGAGUCAGGAUUUGUGAGAUGAUUUAAUAGUAUGAUUUAGUAUCAUAUCAUGAUUAUAUGUAUGCUCAUUAUACGAUUGAUUGAGUCUGAUUGCCAAGCACCAUAUGUGUACUCUUCAUGUUAAGUGCUUUGUGUAUGCAUAUUGAGAGUUAAAGUACUCUACCUGUGUGAUGUAGUUAAAUUCCGUUUGAUAAUGAGAUGUUAUUCCUCUCUCUACUCACGCGAUAAUAAUCUCGAUGAGUGUUGCAAUUAUUUUCCCUGGGUAAUAUUUAGUGCAGUUUUCUCAUGUAUAAUUUCAUGUUUGCUUAUAUAUUAUGUUCAGUGCAGAAUUAUGUCAUAUGAUUGUGUAUAAUUAUUAAUGCACUACUUUAUUUUAAUAUAUAUAAUUAUAUCUACUCAUUGAGCUGCAAGUUCGCUAUUUUCUUAUUUAUCCAAUUUUUUCUAGGUUUUCGCAGGAUUUCAUACAGUUCAUUUUCCAUUAGUUGAGGUUGGGCCACGAUGUGCAGUGUUGCAUGACUUGCAUUUUAAGCACGUUUAUGCUCAUAUGUAUAUAUAUUUAAGAUAUAUGCAUACAUAGUGAGAUGUGAAGUGUGCAAGUUUCGAAUAUGUUUUCGGAUAAGGCAUAUAUGUUAUUAUAUAUUUUCACGUGAUUUGGAUUAGACCCAAUAGUUGGGUCGGGUGGGGUCGUAUCACACACACACUCAUGUAGUCGUUCUCUAGUGUGAGUGCCAUCAUUUUUUUCAUGCGGGCAUACUUUUAAACCAUGAUGUUUAAGAGAGUUAUGAUUUUUCACUCUUUUAAGCCGUACGGUUUAAAAGUUUAAAAGCAUGUCUGCAUUAAAAAAAAAAAAGAGAGAGAGUGCCUGCACUUGAGAAUGAUUAUGUAUAUAUUUGUAAUCAUUCUCAGGUUCGGGUGCUUUUUUUAUUUUUUAAUGUGGACACGCUGUUAAAUCGUACGAUUUAAUAACGUAUUUAGGGUUGGCAAAAACACGGGCUUGAAGCCCCGUCGACAUGAGUUGGGCCUGAUUAUGGGCUUAAAAAUACAAAGUCGGCACAUAUUGGACCUAGAUAAGGGCCUAGUUUUUUAAUUUAUAAAAAAUAAAUUAAAUUUAAAUAAAAACUCAAAAUAUUAAAUUAAUAUUUUUUUCAUAUUAGUAUUUGUGAUUAAUUAUGUUGUGUUAAUAAUAUUUUGUGUAUUAGACUAUUAUUCUAUUACUUAUUGGAUAAUUAUUUUUAAUUUAAAUAUUUUUUACUUUAUUAAAAAAUUAUUUUAUUUUUAAUGGAACAAGCCCAAGCCUGGCUCAGGGCUUGCCCGUCCAAACUUGGAAGGAUUUUUGAAGGGCCUGGGCUUGUUAUCUAUAAUAUGGGCUUGAGCCAAGGUUUGGAAAAGUCCGACACAAGUUCAUAUUUUGCCAACCUAAGCGUGUCUGCAUUGACUUUAUUAAACGUUUAAUAGUGUGUUCGCAUGAAAAAAAUGAGAGCCUCCACAUUAGAUAAGGAUUAUAUAUGUACACUUAUUAGAGUUAAUGCACUUUAGAUAUGAUUAUAUAUAAAAUCAAUGUCUUUUUUUUAUUAUUAUUAAUUAAAGAGUGAAUUUGUAGAACGAAUUUUAAAUUCGAAGAUUUUGAAUUCCUUCGUCUACGAUGUAAAAGUAUACACACAAUUAACAAUUUUGAUAAAAAUUGAAUUAAGAGUUUCUAGCAAAGAAUGCCAAAAUUCAGUCCUGCCUCUAAAUUAAUUAAGUUAUCGCCUUUUUUUUUUUUUUUGGACUUUUCGGGUGGGGGUGGGUGGCGUAUGGAAUGAACAUUUAUAUCAUGUACUGUUUGAGAUAUAAUUUGGGUUUAGAAUCACUCUUUUUCAGAAUGUUUCAACUCAUUUAUUAAGAAGGAUCCACAUGCUUGACUAAUAGGGGCUUGAAACCAGGCAGCGAAGAUGGUCCUUAAUUAUUGUAUGUAUCUAUGAUAUAUCUCAAUGUGAAAAUUUCAAUUAUUAUAAUUAUUAUAUUGAAAAAAAAAGUGAUCCCAUUAGAUGAAGAAAUCAUUGAAGUUAAAUAGUUAAAGGUCUUUAUAUAUGUAGCCUCGUUUGUUUGAAGUCUAAAGAGAUAAUAAUGUGAAAUAUAUGAUUUAGGAAAAAAAAUUGAAAUUGCACAGCUACUUUCACUUUUUGGAAACAGAAAAAGUCCACGAUUUUUUUUUUUAAAGAAUUAUACAAAUAUAAAAUUUUAGUCGAAGUUAAAAGAAUAACAUCUCUAAUUGGACAAAAUGAAACACACAUAUUUAUAUCCUGGUUAAGAAUUCAGUUUUAAUUUAUGUUUUUGCUAAACAAUGAACCAAUGGUUAUUAGGCAAAUAUUUAUAUAUAUAAUUCUGAUCACGACUCAGUAUGAAAAAAAAAAAUUCAAUAUAUAUAUAAUUCUGAUCAUGACUCAGUAUAAAAAAAAAAAUUCAAUUCAGUAUUAAAUCCUAAUCUCUAUAUCCGUACGGGUUAUAUUGAUGAUAUUGGGAUGAAUAUAUUUUAUUGAAACAGAAGUUAUAGACCUAACAUCCCUGACUGUACAGUAAUGAACUCUAUAUUACUACACUGCUAGCUUAAUUAUCAUCUAACACUGUAAUUUUAAAUAACGAACUAAAGCUUCAUAUAUUUUAGCUACUGGCUAGGUUUCUGACUUUCUGCAGCUCACUGUGUAUAUAAAGUUAAUUGUUUUCAGAAAAGAAUCAGGCUACUGCACAUACACAUAAUUAAUUUAUGUCAAAUUAAACAAAGAAAAGAAAAAAGAAUAAAAAAAGAAAAGAAAAGAAAACGGCGGGCGGUGGCUGGCUAGCAAGAGAAUUAAUUAACGAGAAGAAAUUAAAUGAGUUAAAGAAAAUGGAUAUACAUACCUUCAGCAGGGUCAGUCGUAGCAGUGGUGUUAUUUUGAGCGUUGGAUAAACAAAUUAGCAGGAAGAGAUGAGCGAAUAGUAGUGAGGAAGAAAGCAGCAGCUUCAACGAUCCCACUCCAAAAUUCAUCUUCAUUUCUCGUUACAAUUUACAAACCCAGAAUAAGGAGAAUUUAAUGCUAAUUUUUGAAUCUAUAGUUUUGUUGAAGUUAAAGAAUAUGUAGAAGAAGAAGCUGGCCAGAGUCGGUCAAUAUUUGUUUUUUUUUGUUUUUUCAGUGGUGCAUGCAUUUUAAGUCGUUCCAUCUAUCAAAGAAAAGUCGUUCAAAAACAAAAUAAAAAAUAAAAUGUAUCAGAAUUGACCAAAUUCAACUCUCAUAUGUGCAUAAUAAAAACAAUAUAAUACAUUGCAUCUUAACCAAUACGAUGAAAUCUUAGUGUCUCUUUCCCCACCCUCACCAGAUUAUUAUUAUCCACAGCACUUUUGCUGACGCAAACUCAACAUAAAAUUGUAUCAACAUAUUCAAUUUAGAAGAACGCAGAGUAUUACUCCCAGGGACACAGUACAUCUGUACACACCCAGCGCAGAAGAGGGGAAAAACAAUAUCUGCACAUGCUGAAGAAGCAAAGCAAUGAAUUAAUCAGAGUCUAGACGUUGGCUGAAUUGUCAGGCUUGAAUUUAGUAGCAGCAGCAGCAGGAGGGGAUGGGUAAGUGAAUGUAGUAGCUUCACUGCCUGUGCCUGGCUGUCAAGGAAGCUCAUAUUUGCAAGAUGGUCAGUAGAGCAGAGGAUCACAGCAGCAGCCACAUUCAGUUACGAGUUGAUGACAUGGCAUGCCAGCUGGAGCCUGGUGGUUAUGUAAAUAGUUGUGCAUGUGUUAAUUAGCUUAAGCUGAUAUGAUUAGUUGUCAGAAUUAGUUAAUUAGCUGUAGCUAAUUACAACUAUUUGAGCUGAGCUUCAACUUAGUAUAAAUAACAACAACAUUGUACAUAUUAUUAAUAACAUGAUUAAUGAAAAUGAUGUUCUAGAAAACUCUUAGAUUCAGUUCUUAUUUUCUCACUGAUUUUCUCAGUUGCCAAAAAAUAUUUUCGUUCUUCAACUUGGUAUCAGAGCUAGUAGCAAUGGCUUCAGUCCAUCUAGCUUCUUUUUCUUCUCAAGCGCCAGUCAAUCACACAACUGUUAACUCAACAAAUGUGACAUUUACUUUCAAUACACCUAUUGAGUUAGAUCAAUCCAAUUAUUUGAUUUGGCGAUCUCAAGUUCUUGCUUUAAUUUGUGGCAACAGACUUGAGAAAUUCAUUGAUGACUCAACCACUCCACCUCCUUCACAUAUUGCUAAAAGAAUUAGAGAUGAUAUGAGAUUUGUAGAGAAUCUAGACUUUAUAACUUGGAGAUCACAAGAUCAAGUGCUUCUUGGCUGGUUGCUUUCUUCAAUGAGUGAAGGUAUCAUUAGUCUAGUCUUCAAUCUAGAGACUUCUCGUGAGGUAUGGAAAGAUAUUGAAGUUCAGUUUGGAUCACAAUCUAAAUCUAGGCUUCUGCACUUGAGAUAUAUGAUGAACUCAACUAGGAAAGAUGAUCUAAAAAUUACUAAUUAUUUCAUUAAGAUGAAAAAUAUUGUUGAUAAUAUGGCUGCAGCAGGAAAUGCAUUAAGUGAUGAUGAUUUAAUUCUGCAUAUACUCUUUGGCUUAGUCCAGAUUAUAACUCUGUUGCUACCUACAUUACUGGACAAGUAAGAGUGGGGAAAAUGAAUGUAAACGAAGCUUAUGCUAUGCUCCUAACUCAAGAAGUUAGGAUUGAACAACAAACUUAUAUGCUGGCUAAUACAGAUGUGAAACAAAAUUUUGAGGCUAAUCUUGCUCACAAUAGAGGUUAUAAAAGGGGAAAUAUGUCAGGAGGAAAAGGUUUUGGUGGCUUUGGAUAUAAUUCUAGCUAUGGAAACAUUAACAGUGCUAGCUAUAAAGGAGGUUAUGGAGGCUCUGGAUUUAAUGCUAACAGUGGAAAUGCUUAUGGCACCAAUCAUCAGUUCAAAGCUUAUCAAGGAGAUAAUCAGAGAGGUGGAGGAGGAGGUAACUGGAAUCAAAAUGCUUGAAAUAGUGGAUUUAACAAUAGUAGACCACCUGGAAACAUUAAACCUCAGUGGAAUGUCUCUAAGCCAACCUGUCAAAUCUGUUUCAGAAUAGGUCACACUGUUAAUAUUUGCUAGAAACUUGAAGAGUUUAUUGCAUCUGGAGCUUACAGACCACCACCAAAUAGAAAUCCAAAAUCUACAUAUUUGGCUAAUAUGGAGGGACCUGCUGAUGCAAAUUAGUAUCUGGAUAGUGGUGCAACACACCAUCUGACAAAUGACAUCAACAAUAUGCAUGUUUCUAAAGCUUUUGUAGGUACAUCUAAACUUUUUGUUGGCAAUGGUGCUGGAUUAAAUAUAACACAUAUUGGAAGUGCUGCAUCGAAAUCAUAUAACUCCAAUAAUGCCUCCUUAACUCUUAAACUAAAUGAUAUCCUUUUAGUGCCACAAAUUACUAAAAACCUCAUUAGCAUCUCUAAGCUCACAAAAGAUAAUGAUGUUGUGAUAGAGUUUACUGAUAACUUUUGUUUUGUGAAGGACAAGGUGAGGAAUUUGAUCAUACUGCAGGGCAAGGCUGAAAAACGUUUAUACAAAUUGCUAUUGGUUUCAUCUAAUAAGAUAGUCUCUUCUACUUCUAAUCAAAGCUAUGUUGUUGAGUUAAUUGUAUCAACCACUCCUCUUUCAAUGUUUUCAGUUGUCUAUUCUACUCUUUCAAAUAACACCUCUUGCCUGUAUACUGCAGCAACUUCCUGUAAAAUUUGAGUGUCUGUUAAGUACAUCUGUACUGCAUCAAAGAUUGGGAUAUCUAUCUUCUAAGAUCUUGAAUCAUGUAAUCAAAUCAUGUUCAUCUCUCAAUCUUGUCAAUAAGAAUAAAACCUUUUAUUUAUGUGAUGCUUGUAAAAUAGGAAAAAUGCACAAGCUUCAUUUUCGAGCUACUGAUAUCAAAAUAAAGUCUCCCCUGGAAAUAUUACAUACUGAUUUAUGGGGACCAGCCCCUGUGAUUUCAUUAUAAGGCUACGUAUAUUAUGUAAGCUUUGUUGAUGAUUUCACAAGAUUUACUUGGAUAUUUCCUUUGAAAACCAAAAGUAAAACAUUGUCAGUCUUUAAAAUUUUCAAAAACCAAAUUGAAAAACAACUUGACAGACCUAUAAAAUGUCUUCAAUCAGACUGGGGUGGAGAAUUUAGAUCUUUUGUUAACUUUCUUCACACUGAGGGAAUUCACUUUAGACAUUCAUGUUCAUAUACUCAUAACAAAAAUGGAAUAGUAGAGAGAAAUCAUAGACAUAUUACUGAACUUGUCUUACUCUACUUGCACAAGCAACUUUACCUAUUAAAUUCUAGUGGGAUUCUUUCCAUACAGCCACAUACAUCAUAAACAGAUUACCCACCCCAAUUCUAUCAAUGAAAUCUCCUUAUGAAUCUAUUUAUCAUCUUCCUCCAGAUUACAAAUUCUUAAGAACAUAUGGAUGUUCAUGUUUUCCCUUUCUCAGAAACUACAAUCAACACAAGUUUCACUCUCAUACAUCUAAAUGUAUUUUCCUAGGGUAUAGUCCUUUGCAUAAGGGUUACAAAUGUCUCAAUCCCUCUGGUAAAAUCUAUAUAGCUAGUCAUGUUAUUUUUUUAUGAAACCUCAUUUCCAUAUUCAUCUAUUUUCAGCUCAUAUUCUCCAUCCAAAUCUUCUGAAUUUCAAUACAAUCUUCUUCAACAGUAUAUCAUUCAUGUUUCCAAUAGCAAUUUAAACACCUUUGAAGUUGAUACUGUAGAUAAUGAUACAUAUUCUCAUCACCUUCAUACCAUAUCUUCACCACCCUCUCACAAUACAUCAUCUCAACCCUCACCACUUGCUACUUUAUCCCAUUCAGCCAUAACUUCUUCACCAACUCAACCAAUUCCCUUUAUACCUCUAACUGAUACAACACAAAAUACAUCAUCCUUACAACCCAUCAUAUCUCACUCUCAAAUUCAACCAACACACUUAUCUAAACCUAAACCAAUUCUCUCCACACAUAAAAUGAUCACUAGAGCAGAGGCUGGGAUAUUCAAACCGAAAGCCUACUUAACAAAUAACAACAGCCUGGAACCAUCUACUGUUUCAGAAGCAUUAUUUGAUCCCAAAUGGAAAGCAGCAAUGCAAACUGAAUAUAAUGAUAUGAUUAAAAACAAAACUUGGAAUCUUGUGGCUUUGUGCUCAUCCUAUAAACUAGUUGGGUGCAAAUGGGUGUUCAGAACCAAGUACAUCAUAGAUGGCUCAGUUUCAAAAUAUAAAGCUAGGUUGGUAGCCAAGAGAUUUCAUCAAACUACAUGUAUUGAUUAUUCAGAAACAUUCAGUCCUGUAGUGAAGUCCUCAACAAUGAGAUUAAUUCUUAGCCUAGCUGUCAUGAAAGGUUAGACAAAUUGAUGUCAAUAAUGCCUUUUUAAAUGGGGAUUUGUCAGAGGAUAUGUAUAUAAUUCAGCUUGAGGGUUUUGUAUCCAAAGAAGGCUACAUAUUCAAGCUUAACAAGGCACUAGAUGGAUUGAAACAAGCUCCAAGAGCUUGGUAUGAUAAACUGAAAAGCUGUCUUACUACUUGGAAAUUCUUCAAUUCUAAAGCUGACACAUCUCUCUUUGUUAAACAUGAUGAAAAAGGCAUUAUUAUUGUCUUAAUCUAUGUUGAUGAUAUUUUGGUUACUAGCCCUGACUCAGCAUUACUUGAAGAUUUCAUUAUUAAACUCAGUAAGGUUUUUGCUCUCAAGGACUUGGGAUUAGUGGCCUAUUUUCUUGGAGUAGAAGUUUGUUACACAACUCAUGGAAUGCAUCUUUCACAGACAAAAUAUAUUAAGGAUUUGUUAAAUAAAGCCUCAAUGCAAAAUUGCAAAGGAUCAGAUACACCUUUUAGUACUGGUUUCAAAUUGGAGAAAAAUAUUAAGGGUCCAUUUGGGCAAGAAUUUGAAGAACCAGCACUUUAUGGAAGCAUCAUUGGGGGACUUCAGUACUUAAUUCUCACCAGGCCUGACAUUGCAUAUUCUGUACAUAAACUCAACCAGUAUCUUAGCAAUCUUACACUCCAGCACUGGUUAGCAUGCAAGAAAGUUCUCAGGUAUCUUCAAGCUACAACCACUCAUGGUUUAUACAUUCAAAAUGAGGGAACACUUGGAAUUGCAGGUCUAACAGGUUACUCUGAUGCUAACUUGGCACGUGAUGUUGAUGAUCAAAAUCUAUUGGAGCUUACUGUAUUUACCUUGGUAAUAAUCUGAUUUCCUGGUCAUCAAAGAAGCAAGUUAUUGCAGCUAAGUCCAGCACAGAGAGUGAAUACAGGGCACUAUCUUCAGCAAGUUCAGAACUCUCUUGGUUGCAAUCCCUACUAUCAGAGCUUAAUAUUGUGCAAUUACCAACUCCAAUUCUUUGGUGUGACAAUCAGAGUGCUGGAGAAUUAGCCCGAAAUCAUAUUCUUCACUCUAAAUCUAAACACAUUGAAUUGGGUGUUCAUUACAUUAGAGACAAAGCGCUUGGAAAAGAAUUAGAAGUAAAAUACAUUCCUACUGAAGAACAAGUUGUUGAUGUCCUUACUAAAGCUCUGUCAUUUAUCAAGUUUAACUACUUUUGAUUCAAGCUCAAUGUCAUCAACAGGCCAUUGAGCUUGAGGGGAGGAUGUGAAGGAAGCUCAUAUUUGCAAGAUGGUCAGCAGAGCAGAGGAUCACAGCAGCAGCCAUAUUCAGUUACGAGUUGAUGACAUGGCAUGCCAGCUAGAGCCUGGUGGUUAUGUAAAUAGUUGUGCAUGUGUUAAUUAGCUUAAGCUGUUAUGAUUAGUUGCUAGAAUUAGUUAAUUAGCUGUAGCUAAUUACAACUAUCUGAGUUGAGCUUCAGCUUAGUAUAAAUAGCAACAGCAUUGUACAUAUUAUUAAUAACGUGAUUAAUGAAAAUGAUGUUCUAGAAAACCCUUAGAUUCAGUUCUAAUUUUCUCACUGAUUUUCUCUGUUGCCAAACAAUAUUUUCGUUCUUCUAACUCUGGCGGAGGCGCUGGCACCCCAAAAACUUGUGGAUUGGUUCUGAUAUCUUGUCUUCCUCUAGCUCUUCCCAAGUAAAAGCACCCAAAUCCAAGCAAUAGGCUGAACAACAUCAACGGAAUGAUAUCACCACCACCAUACCCAUCUUUAUUUGAUUUGAUGAUCAGAAAUCGCAGCAGAAGAGAGGUUUAUAUAAGAAUAAGAGAAUGAGAGAGAGCUAUGAAUGAACUAUGAUGAUGAUGAUGACGAUGAUACGGAGGUUUCGGAUUCUCUCUUCUUUUAAGAACAUGUUUCUUUCUUAACGGUUGGCUUAACGUUCAAGCUCUAACGGUUACUUUUAUUGUUGGGCCAGUUAAAUAAUUCUCCUAAUACAAAACAAGGUUAAAUAAAUAUUGAGAUGGCUAUUCAUCCCGCAAUUAUAAAGGUAUAGUAUUUUGUUCAUUCUUGUUUAAAAAAAAAAAAAAAAGACUCUAUAGAGUUCAAUGUAUGGAGCCUUCUCAUGGUGUUCGGAUUCAACAUGUGCCAAAGUCCUCUAAUCAGCCGACCCAUUUUCUAUCUAAACUAACUUUUAACUGAAAGCUAUGAUUUCAUAAUUUUUAAACCAGUGUACUGGAAAAUGAAGCGAAAAAGAAGAUGGAAAGAUGAAGAAUAAUAAUACAACAUGCUUGUUACCUCAAUACAUUAAUAAGGGUAAUUAACGGUCUACAAAUACAUUUUGUUUAUUAUUUUGAGGACUUGUUUCAUUUUAUUUACGUGCAUUGAUGUCUUCCCAAAAUCAGAAGUUUUUAAUGAACUUCGAGAAUGUUGCCUGCCACUCGUCGUCAUAGAACAGUAUUUCGUGCUGCACAUAUGCAUGUACUGUAAUUGCUAGAAAUAGCUCGACGGGAGAAAUUUAAGGCACCAUAAGAAGCAGAUCAUUCCACCGGCACAAGGCUGCUUUUGUUUCAGAAGCUGGCAAAUAGUGGAUCAUAGCCGCGACGCGACAAAAUUAUUUCUCACCUCCCUUCUGCUAAAAUAUCAGUUAGCUGUGUGACAUUUACCGGGGAGACUAAUGCAUCAGUUCCUUCACUGUGAUCAUCAACUGGAUUUUCUCUUUGGCUUUUCUCCUUGCUGUUACGUCUUUUAAUAGAUGAUGAAGGCGUUGGCGUGUCUUCUUUCAAAAAGCUUGCUGUUAUAUCUUUAAAAUCCCAAUCUGUCAAAUAACUUGGCUUUGAAAUAACCGAGCCAACUUCUAUAUCCCCAGCAAGCAUGGCCACAACGCGUGACAUUGGUGGCCUCAUCAUUGGCGAUGCUUGAGUGCACAAGAGAGCUACUCCUAUCACUCGAAGAGCUUCCAUGUCGUUAAACUCUGUUAAUGUAGGAUCUACAAGCCCCAAACUUUGAUUAUUUUCAUGGAGAUUCCAGGCCUAGAAACAUCAUAUAGACAAUAAUUCAGUUAAAGAUUUAAAGAAUUAACUUUCCUUUAACCAGAACAAUGCAGAUAUAAGAAAGGAAAGAAUGCAGAAUGAAGUUCAAGAUUAUUUUCUUCACCCAUUCGAGAAGAUAAAUCUUUUCCGUAUCCAAGCUGUUGUCGGAGUUUGCUCUUCCACUGAUGAUCUCCAACGCAACAACGCCAAAACUGAAAACAUCGGCCUUCUCUGUCAAGUGUCCGCGCAUUGCAUACUCCGGUGCCAAAUAGCCACUACAAGAUCAAUAGUUACCGAUCAAAAUCUCCAAACUCCAUUGUAUCCAAAAAUUGGAAGAUAAGGCCUGUAUGGAAUUAUCAUUUUUGGAAGAAUGGUAAGAAGAAAUGUUAAAGGAGAUUACACGGUCCCUGCAACUCUUGUGCUGAUGUGGGUUUUCUUGUCAUCAUACAGCUUUGCCAAUCCAAAAUCCGAUAUCUUGGGGCAGAGCUCUGCAUCAAGUAAAAUAUUACUUGCUUUGACAUCUCGAUGUACAAUCCUGGGCCUGGAAUCUUCGUGAAGAUAAGCCAGCCCUCUUGCUGUUCCCAAGCAUAUGCUGAACCUGGUAGGCCAAUCCAGAUGCAAUUCAUUGUCUCCUGCAGAAAUGUUGGCUGCAGUGGUUAGAAAUUUAUGGAGUUACAGAAGGACAAAAUUGAUAACUCUAGGAUAAUUUAUCUGCAUGAGAUCUCACUGAGACAUUGUCAAUCAGCUUUAGGAUAGUGAUUGUGGCUAAUUUGCAGUUAUGGACAUUGUCUAAACAAUAGAUUUUGGAUUUAAGAUUACAAAAUAGAUCAUGCAAUUUCCAAAAGUCGGUGACUCAGCACUUUCUUCUUUGAAUUCUUUGCCUCAGCAACCAAGCUAAAACAUGGUGUUUGCGCUAUUUUCUACUACUUAUUAGUAGUAAGAUGAAUUGAUUAUCAUACCGAACAAUACUUGAUCGAGGCUUUUGUUUUCAAGAUACUCAUAAACAAGGAGGCGCCUGGCUCCUUCAAUGCAGAAUCCAUACAAUCUCACAAGACUGCGAUGUUGCACUGCAGAUAUGGUUGUAAUCUCAUUUACAAAUUGAUUCUUCCCUUGGUGAGAUGCUAUUGAAAGUUGCUUCACAGCUAUUACUCUUCCGUCAGAUAGAGUACCCUGUCAAGUGCAACAUUUAGCAAUUUGAAAAAUAUCCACUAUAUCCCAGUGAAAAUUGGAAAGCAUCAACUAAGUUUUCUAGUUGCAAUGUCAGGCUAUGAUCACGGAUUAAAAGUACUACAUGGCAAAGCCAGCGUGCAAGAAAACUGUCAAUUGGCUGUAAUCUUAAUAUAUAUAUAGUUACCUUGUACACAGGUCCAUAUCCUCCCUCUCCAAGCUUGUUUGAUGGGUCAAAAUCUUUUGUUGCAGAUCUCAACUCAGCAUAGCUGAAAGUGUUUGGUUUAGAUUCUAUCCCAACUAGCACUGCGGGCUCAACCAAGACAAAAAUUAGGGACAAUAGCAUAGGAUGGGAUACCACAACGGUUUGCGGAUAUCAAGAUCCCCAAAUAAUGAAGGAUUUAUAUGACAAAAGAUGAAUUAAGCAGAACAUUUACCAAUAUCAAAUUACAAAUUCAUUGAGUUUCAUGAACAAGCUUGCUACAACUACUAUUACAUAUUGUUAAAUUGUCAAUGGACUCUUAUUACCUUCCUCAUCAUCGUUGUCUUUUUUUCUCCGCAUGUAGAACACUAUAGAUAUCACUAUCAAGCCCAAAAUUCCAAGAGGUACUGCAAUACCAACAAUCAUUCCUGUGUGGUUCUUAUUCCCCGGAGUACCUGGGGGUAAUCCACUUACAGAUGGUUUGAAAGCUGAGAAGUAAAAACUCAGUUAUUAGGAGCAAAGAAGCAUGUAAGCCAUUUUAUUUAUUAUAUUCCAUCUUAAAUGAAGAUUCACAGGAAUCAUAUGCUUUACCUGAAACGGCACUGAGAGCUGAAAUUGCUGGUCCAUAAUCACCUUGAGUAGGUACGCAGCAGGUCCCUUUACCAGCCCAUAAUAGGUGAAUUUCAAGAUGGUUUUCUGACACAGCGGCAUUGAAAUUCUUUAUAAUAGCUCUGUUAGGCCCUCCCGCCUCCUUUGAUAUGUCAAAAUCCUUCCACCGGAGAGUUCCCUAGAAGAUCGAUGAUUAGAGAUAGAAUUAUUAUUUCUCAAUGUACUUGAAAAAAUAGAAAAAAGAAAAAAGAGAGAGUUGUAAUUUUGGAAUCGCAUGAUCUCCAGCUCCAAAUUUUUGGUUCAGGUCAUAUGUUUACCUGAAUAUAGAUAUCAAAAACACGCGUUCCAAGACUCUCCCACCUUUCUGUGCUUCGAUCAAGAAUACUUGCUUCUGCAAAUAACAAGCUUACCUUAUAAGGUCCAUUCUCAAGACCCAGGCCAUAGUACCUAAGUGAUCCGGGGGAUAUCCUUGACGUCUGAUAAAGCUCUGGGGUCCUGGUGCCAGUCAUUUGUGCUAGAGUAUUUAGCACAUAGGCUGGAUUUUCUUUUUCAUUAAACAUACCCACGUUACUCACUGCCCAUUUUUCUGUAUUGGUCACAACAUAGGACGAUGUGGAAAGAGAGGAGUUAUCAGCCUCGUACACUAUGUUAUCCGCUCUCAUUUGUGGACCACCACAUUUGAUUGAGAAGUUUGCAUCUGCAAAUGCAAAGACAAAAGCGCUCGCUAUUUUCAGACUGAAGUCCGACAUCAAAUGCAUAAAGGUCAAUAUCUGGGUAAUGAGAAGCCAUUCAGGUCAAUGUUCCUUAUCAUUACGCAUCCAGCACUUUACAAAUCUUUUCCAGUUCUCAUUACAUGCAAACUCACUUUAUUACAUCAAAACUUUUUAAAGUUAAGAUUGUUAAGACACCAAAUUUAUAAUGUAACAAUUCUAAAAUUUCGACUGGCGGUGGUAAAAAAAAUUUUCCCCACUUGCAACCCUGCUACUUCAAGUCAAAUUUAAAACUUCUGUACUACUGGUUGCUCUUAUUAAAUUUUUUUACUCAGCAACUCACUAGCAUAUUCCUUACAUAACUUAGAAGCAUAACACAGAAGUAUAGUUAAACAAGCAUUCUUUCUUCUAAAUGUGGAACUACAAUCACUUAUGAAAAUUUAAUAUUGCUGACAUCAGAGAGAAGACAGCUUACAUCGCGGAGCAUUUCUAUUGCACGGGAAGUUCCUUUGAAGGCAGUGCAAUCCUGGAAAGACACUUGCAAGCACAGAGAACAAUUAGUUCACAUUACGUGUAUUUAGGGAAUUUUAUCUCACCCAAGAUCUUGUAAUAAAAAAUAUCAAAAAAAUAAUAAGUAAAAAAAUAGAUGGUAAAUAAAAUCAAUCACACAACAUAAAAAUUUACGUGGAAAACUCUUGUACUGAAGAAAAACCAUGGCCGCCAAAGACGACGAGAGAAAAAUCCAUUAAAUGAAAAAUUAUUACAAUCACACAAAUAUUUUUUUUCUUGCACCCAAAACUCUAAUAACACCCAAUCUUUUAAUAAACCUAUUGUUUCUCUCGCAAUAGAAGCUGUCUACUUAAAGAGAACUAAUUGUUAUAGUAUGCAAAUAAGUGAACUCAACCUCCUUAUAUAUAGUAAUUAUUUAUUGUAGGAGAAAUAUUCCUUUCCUUAUACUAGUUAUAUUCCUCAUUGAAGAAAAAUUACCCAUGACAUAAAUAGAAAUUCUCUUGAAUAAGAAAACAACUACAUAAGAAAAGCCUAGGAAAUAUCCUAAUUUAGGAUUUAAAAAUCCUUAUUGAAAAAAGAGAUAUAUUUCCUAACAAUCGUCAUCUUGGUGAGUUUUCAAUUUUGCGACAAAACAUGAUCCACCGUGAAUCUACACAACCAUGUAGUCACCACCUUCUUUGCUCCACCAAAACCAUACUCAAAUAGGGUUUAUGAGAUUCACUCCAUCAUGGGUAAAAUCUUAUUCUCUGUUCAACAGCUAUAAUUAUUUAUAUUGAGAAUCUUAAUACUCCAUCUUAUCCAAAGUACCCAUAUUCGGCACAUGUCGAUUGCCUUGCUAAAAAUAAUCACUCUCAUAUUUGGCUUCCUUAAGAGUCACAGCCAUCAAUAUAAAAAUUCCACCACACACCUUACAUAAAUGUCAAACCAUUGUCUUAUAUAUAAAUCUUGUGGACCUACUAGCAGUAGUACAUCCUCUUUCAUGACACACUAAAAAGCAUAAAUCAGUCUCUUUGGAGAAAAGAGACAUACAACUAGUUGAAAUUAUCAGUAUCUUCAUCUACUGGAUUAGAGUUAUUUGUCCAACUUGCUUAAGGUGCCUUGAUUAUCUACACAUCUUCACUAGUUUCCACCAAUGGGAAUAAGACCUACAUCACCUUUACUUUUCUUGUGUAACCAAAUUGAAUUAAUAUACCCUUGACUUGAUUUGCCACAAGCCAAAAUUGAUUCUUCCAUAAGACUUUUGUAUUUCUCCCUUCAUAGGUUUUGAAAACCUUAUUACUAAUAUAUUAGCUCUAAGUCACAAUCUUAGCUCUGAUAUCACUUGUUAAGAAAUUUUAAUCCCACCCAAGAUGUUGCAAGUAAAGAUAUCAAACAGAUAAUAAACAGAAAAAUAGAUGGAGAAUAAAAUCAAUUGCACAACACAAGAAUUUAUGUAGAAAAUCCAUAUAUUAGAGAAAAACCACGGUCACCAAGGACGACAAUAAAAAAAUCUAUUAUGUAAAAAUUAUUACAAUCACUCUAAUAUUUUUUCUCACACCCAAAAUUCCACCAACAUCUAGUCUCUCAAUAAAUUUAUUGUUUCUCUCACACUAGAAACUGUCUACUUGUAGAGAACUUGUUAUUUUGUUAUACAAACAAGUGACCCCAACCUCCCUAUAUAUAGUAAUUAUUUCUUGUAAGAGAAGUAUUCGUUUCCUUAUACUAGUUAUAUUUCUCAUUGAAUAAGUUAAGUUCGAAAAGCAAAAUUACUUAUUUCUUAAAUAAGAAUCCUCUUAAAUAAAAAAAUUACUAAAUAAGAAAAAACUAGAAAAUAUCAUAAUUUUCAAAUCCUUAUUAAAAAAAAAAGGCAUAUUUCCUAACAGCUGUUAACAUGACUAAAAGAAAAUUGAAGGACCAAAACUCACCUGAUGUUUGACCCGUCAAAUGUGAAGUUGUUCACUACCAGAUUCCUGUGCAGGUCAAUGCAAACCGUUAAUUGUCAAAGUAUUGGACAGAGAUGCAAGGGCAAGAGACUUCAUGAAAUUCUCAUACAACUGUUACAGUAAAAUGAUAAAGGUAAAAAAACUAGGACCAUUGAUUUUGUAUGGCAAUGAGCUUGACAAGGUCUAAAGUCCAAUACAGGCAACUCUAGAAAAUGAAGAUGAACAGAGCAUUAUCAUAGUUUAAGAGACAUACAUUUGUAAAUUUGAAGUCACCCACGAUGGAAAAGGUCCUGAUAGAUGAUUGUAAGAUAAAUCUCUGCAGGAAACAUUAUGUUAAGCACCAGUAAACGAGUUCGAACAUAUGAACCAAUGCAUAUAUUUGUAAGACAAAGGAAAAAACUGGCUCAGUUUAUUGAUUGGUUGCCAGAGAAAGAAGCCAAAAGUCACAACCGAUGCAUGCAUGAAAGAUGAUAAUCACUGGCCUAAAUCUACAACACUUUCAAAUUGAAACGGGCAACGUAUAUUCUUAUGGUUUGAAUUGCAAGUACCGAAGAGAAAAUCAGUGUUUAUGUGUAGAUAUAAGGUCAUAUUGAGGAACAAGCAUAUGGAUGAAUUUCUACAAGUUUUCUUUCAAUAAAUCAGAAAGCUGAACCAAAGCUUACAUAUUUUGAAGGUUUUCACUUUUUUGAGUAGGAAGUGUUCCUGACAAACUAUUGUUUCCAAGAAACCUGGCCAGUGAAGCAGUGUGAGGAGCAUCAGCAAUAACGAAACAAUGACCGAAGUCCGAAAGUAAAAAUCUUGAAUUGAUGGAGGAAAGCUUCAAAGAAUUUACAAGUAAUUAAGAGAAUCGAUGUUGAACAAAGUUCUUGGGAUUUGGCCUGUUAAGUUGUUGAAACUCAAGUCCCUGCAGAAUAUAGAUGAAAAUUUUGAGGAAAAAUAUAUAUCAAAAAAAAAAAAAAAAAAAAGUCGCACUCUAUAAUUUAUUUCUUAAUAUCGACUUACAAUGUCUGCAAGUUUUGAAGCUCUCCAAUUCCAGAUGGAAUGGUACCAGUGAUCAGAGCAUUUCUCAGGGACCUAUGAAGCAGAAGAACAAAAAACCAACUGAUCACUAAUCAGUGUCAAAAUGAAAAGGCUGCUAAACACGAUGAAAUAUAGAGGAAGUAUACUUACAAGUCCUUUAAGUUCUUCAAACUCAUAACGAAAUCAAGAGAUGAACUCACAAAAUAUAUAUCGCUGAUUCUUCUGCAGAAUCAAUUCAACUAGCACGGAUAUGAUUCAUUCUUCCAAAGAGAGAAUGAGUGACCGAGAGAUUGUUAGAAAAAGAUUUACUCACAAGGAUUCUAAUGAAGCCAACUUAGACAAACUGGAUGGAAUAGGACCUUGAAAAGAAUUCCCUUGAAGUCUCCUACAGCAACAUUUUGACAAACAUGUUAGCAAAACUAUCAGAAGCCAAGCAAAAUCUUUAAUGCCCUACACAGAACACAGAUAUUGAAUAUAGUCAAGGAGUUCUUCAAAGCAUACAGGGCCUUGAGCUUAGUCCAAUUGCCAAUGAAGUCGGGUAAUUUGCCUGUAAAAUGUGCAUCUGAUGCCCGCCUGAAAUUUAACAAAUUAAUCAAAUUUAUGCAGCAUAAUCUUGAUACAGGAGGAGAAACAAAACGGCAUGUGUAAAAAACUUCGCUUACAGAAUUUGCAUAUUGCGAAGUUUAGCAAAUGUGGAGGGAAUUUCACCACUGGCUCCAGAACUGUCGAUGUAACUGUUGAAUUUAUCAAUUGAAAAUCACUUAAGUUUCAUAAACCUGCGACUUUGUAUACUUUAGAAAAAAAAGGAAAAAAAAAAUGAUAAUGAUCAAAUAUAUAAAAAGAGAGGGAAGUUUAGAACCUACAGUUCCUCAAGUUUGGCUAAGUUGCCAAUUUCUGGAGGGAGUGCUCCUGAGAAAUUGUUGUUCGCAAGAGAACUGUAAUUGAUUAAAAAUUAUACACUGAUUUAAAAGAAGAAUAAGAAGAAGAAUUAAAAAAACUUAAAAAAGAAAUGCCUAUCUUACAGAAGAUUUAACUCCUUAAGAUUUCCCAACUCCCUGGGGACAGGCCCCGAGAAUACAUUGUGGGCAAGUGACCUGUACACAAAAAUGUAACACUUCAUUAGACAACACACAAAGAAUAAAGAAUUUGCAGCCCAAUCCAAAAAUCAAAUCAGAGAAUAUUAGAAAAAGCCAAUUUCAAUACUCACAGAAGCGUCAGUCGAGAUAAAUUUCCAAUAAAUGAAGGCAAGGGGCCAGUGAAGAAAUUUCGAUCAAUUUUCCUACAAAAUUCAAAGAGAAGUUGUUAAUCGUGAUGAUUACGUAAAUUUGAUUUAUGCAUACAAUCUGAAUGACAGAUAAAAUAUCUGAGUGAAAAAUCCAUACAGAAAUGUCAGGUAUUGCAAAGUUACUAGUUCUUCAGGAAUCACCCCCUUUUUGUUUAGUGCAUAUACUCUCCUGUGAAAAAAAAUAAAAAUAAAAAUAAAACAAACCAAACCAUUAGACUGCAGCUGCAUCAACCAUUUUAGAAAUUAUUAUUAAUUAACAAGCGCAGAGAUAUAUUAAGAGAGCAUUACAGUUUAGUAAUGUGGCAAGUAGCACCAUUGUCAAAGGUACAGUCACAAACUAUGGCAGGAUUGUUAUCCGGGCUCUCAAAUGCAGAAUCAGUUGCAUUGAGCGCAGAUCCACUGCAUGGGUUUCCACUUAUGUUCCAUAAUCGCACCGCCGGUGCAUCCCAUUGCUGCAGUAUUGAGUUCAAUGCCCUGACUGCUCAUCAAACACAUGCAUGCAUGCAUGCAUGGUAGCUUUGUUACCAAAUGAUAUAAUUUAAUUUCAUAAAAUCAUUACUUAAGAUUAAUGCACUCUGGAUAUGAUGAUAUAUAAAAUCUAAAUCCGUUUUUUAUUAUGAAUUAAACGGUGAAUAUGUCUAACACAGGAGUGUUUGAAAUAUUUGGUAAUCAAGUUAUACCAAGUGCAGCUCAAGUUCUUACAUUAAUCAAGUGAGCAUAAUUUCUAUGCAGAAGGGGCUUUGGAAUUAAACUGUACUGCAUGAGAUCGAAUUAAUUUUCGAGCCAUACAUCAUUGGAAAGAUAUUUUUGGAUAUUUCUGUUAGCUUUCCAAUGAAUUUUACUAAUCUAAAUUUGGAGUUUUCUACAGUAAGUUAUGAUCAGUUAAGUGCAGACUGUUCAGUUUUGAGUCAAGAAGAAUAUUUCGGGACUUGAAUUUUUUUUAAUGUUCUUUGUUGUGUUUUAAGCAUACCAAUGUUUUAUUAAUGUCUAGCUUUAAUGUUGGUCUUUAAAGUCAAGUUAUUUGAAGGGUUUCUUUGUAGUAAAUCUAUGCUUGGAGGAUUGUUCCAAGAAAGUUAUUUAAACUUAUGUAGUUGUAACCAAAUGAUGGAGAUUAAUUUUGGAAAUUGAAUGAACUUUGAGCUAUUAUCAAACUCUGUAUCUCUUUGGUGGAUUCCAUUGAGUGGUGAGUGUUUUAAGCUCCGUAUCCUUAGCUUAACAACUUUAGGUGGUGAAUAUUUUCUAUAUCCUUUUGUUGUUUGUUGUGGUGGUGAGUUUGUGAUUUCUUGAGUGUGUGACGUUGUGCUUUCUCAUCUAUUGUGUCCGGUGUCAAAUUUGUGAAUAUUUUCUGUAUCCUUUUGUUGUUUGCUGUGGUGGUGAGCUUGUGAUUUCUUGAGUGUGUGACGUUGUGCUUUCUCAUCUAUUGUGUCCGGUGUCAAAUUUGGUAUCAGAGCCAGGUUCUGAAAAUUUAUGGCUCAACGACGUCGGCGUAAUGCAAGAGUUGCAGAGCCUCCUGUUCGUGAGAGGGACUUGGGUGAUAUAGAAAGGAAUGAUCUUAGAAGACAAGUAGAACAACUUCAGCAACGAUUACAACACCUUAAAGGAACUCGAGAAGCUGCUCCUAAUGGUAGUUCGGAAGAAGAAGGCUCAAUCAAUGACGGAGUAGAUUAUAAUCCCUUUCAUCAGGAACAAAGCUCUAAUAGUGAAUUUUCUUCUCAUUCUCAAAUUCAUAGGCGUCGCGAUUCUUAUCAGCCUUUUGACUUCAAGGUCGAAAUUCCUGAAUUUGAAGGAAGAAUGCAACCAGAAGAGUUUUUUUAUUGGCUUAAUACUGUUGAAUGCAUUUUUGAAUACAGAGAUGUGCCUGAAGAUCACAAAGUGAAACUCAUUGCCAUUAAACUUAAAAAGUAUGCUUCUUUAUGGUGGGAAAAUCUUAAGAGGCAAAGGGAACGAGAGGGACGGAGGAAAAUUAUUACUUGGGAGAAAAUGAAAAAGAGCUUAAGAGAAAGUUUUUGCCCGAUAACUACAGGCAAGAUAUCUACCUUAAGUUCCACAACUUCAGGCAAAAUGAAUUGUCAGUGGAAGACUAUGCAACAGAGUUCGACAACCUAAUGAUGAAGUGUGAUUUGGUAGAGGCGGAAGAGCAUACGAUCGCACGCUAUUUGGGUGGUUUGAAACCUGAGAUUGGUAAUGUGGUCCAGUUCCAACCAUAUUGGACUUAUAGUGAUGUAUGCAUGUUUGCUCUUAAGGUGGAAAAACAACAAAAGGAUGCUCGUGGUGGGGGUAUUCGGUUCACAGUUCGUGAUGUUAAUCGAGGGAGUGACUCCGUUUCUAAGCAUAAUUCUGGUUCGAAUUCUACUGCAAAGAAAAUUACGAGGAAUGAUAUUGGGGAAAGAUCUAAACAGCGAGCAAGUGGUUCGAAUGCUAGUUCUCGUCAAUGUUUUAAAUGCCAUGGUUAUGGGCACAUUGCUUCUGAGUGUCCUAAUCGUAGAGUGGUUGCCCUUGUUAAAGAGGAAAGUGAUGAUGAAGAUGCGGAAGAUCAUGAGAAUCCUAGUGUCGAAAAGGAUGUUGAAGAUGGAGAAGUUACAUAUGCUGAUGAUGGAAACUCUCUAGUUAUUCAAAAGAGUUUGAGUAUUGUUUGUGAAGAUGGGGAAGAUUGGCUGAGAAAGAAUAUCUUUCACACCAGAUGCACUUGUCAUGGAAAGAUAUGUAAUGUCAUUAUUGAUAGUGGCAGUUUUGAGAAUGUAGUAGCAACUGAAAUGGUGAAGAAGUUGAAGCUCAAAACGGAGCAGCAUCCUCAGCUUUAUAAACUUUCUUGGCUUAAAAAGGGAAAUGAGAUUGAGGUAAACACACGUUGCCUUAUUUCAUUUUCUAUUGGGAAUAAAUAUAAAGAUGAAGUUUGGUGCGAUGUUGUCCCUAUGGAUGCAUGUCACUUGCUUUUAGGUCGUCAUUGGCAGUACGAUAGAAGGGUUGUUCAUGAUGGUUAUAGGAAUACUUAUACUUUCAUUAAAGAUGAAAGUAAAGUCAUUCUGGGUCCUUCAAAGGUAGAGAAAAGUUCCAAACCUAUCAAAUGAGUGGAAAACAAUUUGCUGAAUGUUUCAGAUUGUAAAAAAGAAUUUGAAAUGGGUAGUGAAGUUUACGUGCUGGUGGUGUUUGAGGAAAAUGAAGAUAGCAAUGAGCCGCCUCUGAUUAUGAAGUAUUUGCUUGAAGAAUUCUCAAAUGUUGUUCCAGAAGAAUUACCACAUGGCCUUCCUCCCAUGAGAGACAUUCAACAUUGCAUUGAUCUUAUUUUGGGUUCUGUACUACCAAAUAAAGCGGCUUAUCGAAUGAAUCCAAAGGAGCACGAAGAAUUACAGAGGCAAGUUGAAGAGCUUAUAAGGAAAUGGUUGGUGAGAGAUAGUAAAAGUCCUUGUGUUGUUCCUGCCUUAUUGGUACCAAAGAAAUAUGGGUUUUGGCGUAUAUGUGUUGACAGUAGAGCAGUGAAUAAGAUAACGAUUGAUUAUCGUUUCCCUAUUCCACGCCUUGACGAUCUUCUAGACCAGCUCUAUGGUGCUACAAUCUUUUCUAAGAUCGAUCUUCGAAGUGGCUAUCAUCAAAUCAGAAUGAGACCUGGUGACGAAUGGAAAACGACCUUCAAAACGAGGGAUGGACUUUAUGAAUGGAUGGUUAUGCCAUUUGGUCUAUCUAAUGCCCCAAGCACUUUCAUGCGGCUGAUAAAUCACGUUUUUAAGCCUUUGAUUGGUAGAUUUGUUGUUGUUUAUUUUGAUGACGUCCUUGUGUACAGCUAAAAUGAAAAAUAACACUUGGAGCAUCUUCGCCAAGUCUUCGAGAUUUUGAGAAAUCAAAAGCUUUAUGUCAACUUGAAAAAGUGCAGGUUCCUCACUGAUAGCCUUGUCUUUUUGGGUUAUGUUGUAUCGAAAAAUGGAAUUAAAAUGGAUCCAAGCAAGGUGGAGGCCAUUUUGAGUUGGCCAAUUCCUAAGUCGUUACAUGACAUCCGAAGUUUUCAUGGUCUUACUUCCUUUUAUCGACGAUUUAUCAGAGGGUUCAGUACAAUUGUUGCUCCAGUAACUGAAUGCUUGAAAGGAGAAGGUUUCAAAUGGACCAAGGAGGCACAAGAGAGUUUUGACAUCAUCAAGAGAAAGGUGACUGAAGCGCCUGUUCUUUUCACUUCCAGAUUUCAGCAAGGUGUUUGAAGUUGAGUGUGAUGCCUCUAAUACUGGAAUUGGUGCUGUACUCAACCAAGAAAGGAAACCAGUCGCUUUCUUUAGUGAAAAAUUGAAUGACUCCCGCAGAAAGUACUCAACUUAUGACAAAAAAUUAUAUGCUAUUUGCCGAGUUUUGAACCAUUGGAGUCCAUAUUUGCUUUCAAGGCCAUUUAUUCUCUUCUCCGACCAUGAAGCACUAAAGUUUAUCAAUAGUCAGCAGAAGCUUAGUAGAAAACAUGUCGGAUGGGUGGAAUUUCUUCAAGCUUACAAUUUUACCAUCAAGCAUAAAUCGGGUGCUCAGAAUAUUGUGGCUGAUGCUUUAAGCCGAAAACAUUCAUUGCUUUCUUCUAUGCAAGUGAAGGUUGUAGGCUUUGAAAUUUUAAAAGAGCUAUACAAGGAUGAUUCUUUCUUUGGCAGGAUUUAGAGAGAAUGUGAGAAUGGAUCAUAUGAUCAGUACCAAUUGCAUGAUGGCUUUCUUUUCAAAGGGAAUCGUUUAUGUAUUCCUCAGUGUUCUUUGCGGGAAUCUAUUAUCAUGGAGGCACAUGGCAGUGCUGUUGAAGGUCACUUUGGAAGGGAUAAGACGUUAGCCUGCUUGCAAGGUAAUUUCUAUUGGCCAAAGAUGGAUAAAGAUGUUGUGCAUCAUGUGCAGAGGUGUAAAAUCUAUCAUAUUGCCGAAGCUCAUGGUCAAAACACAGGCCUAUACAAUCCUUUACCAGUCCCUGAAGCUCCUUAGGAAGAUGUUAGUCUAGACUUUGUUGUUGGGUUGCCAAGAACUCAAAGAAACAAAGACUCUGUCAUGGUAGUGGUUGACCGAUUCUCAAAAAUGGCUCAUUUUAUUCCGUGUAACAAGACAUUGGAUGCCUCUCAUGUGGCUGAUUUGUACUUCAAGGAGAUUGUGAAGCUACAUGGAAUUUCGAAAACCAUUGUCUCUGAUCGGGAUUCAAAGUUUUUGAGUCACUUUUGGCGUACUCUUUUGAAGAAGUUGGGAACUACUCUUAAAUUCAGCUCUUUUCAUCAUCCUCAAACUGACGGUCAGACUAAAGUGACAAUGGGAUCUUAUUUUGCCUCAGAUUGAAUUUGCUUACAACCACUCCAUACAUCAAACUACUGGUUCAAGUCCCUUUGAAGUAGUUUAUGGCAAGAAUCCAAUCAGUCCUUUGGAUUUGGCUCCACUUUUGACUGAUCAUCAAUUUAGUGGGGAGGCUGAAGAACGCUCUAAAAGUAUCAAGAAGAUGCAUGAACAAGUUCGAGAUAGAAUAUUGAAGCAAAAUGAGAAGUAUAAAAAAUUUGCAGACAAGCAUCGAAAACAUGUUAAGUUUCAAGAAGGAGAUUUGGUUUGGGUUCAUCUUAGAAAAGAUCUUUUUCCACCUGGGAAAUUUGCUAAGCUUAGACCAAGGGCUAAUGGACCAUUUAAAGUGUUGCAACACAUUGGUGAUAAUGCUUACAAGAUUGAGCUACCAGAUGGCUAUGGUGUUUCGUCAACGUUCAACAUAUCAGACUUGUCUCCUUAUCAUGAAGAAAAUGAUCAAAACUUGAGGUCGAAUUUUUUUCAACUAGGGGAGAUUAACACAGGAGUGUUUGAAAUAUUUGGUAAUCAAGUUAUACCAAGUGCAGCUCAAGUUCUUACAUUAAUCAAGUGAGCAUAAUUUCUGUGCAGAAGGGGCAUCUUUUGGAAUUAAAUUGUACUGCAUGAGAUCGAAUUAAUUUUCGAGCCAUGCAUCAUUGGAAAGAUAUUUCUGUUAGCUUUCCAAUGAAUUUUACUAAUCUAAAUUUGGAGUUUUCUAUAGUAAGUUAUGAUCAGUUAAGUGCAGACUGUUCAGUUUUGAGUUAAAGAAGAAUAUUUCGGGACUUGGAUUUUUUUUUAAUGUUCUUUGUUGUGUUUUAAGCAUACCAAUGUUUUAUUAAUGUCUAGCUUUAAUGUUGGUCUUUAAAGUCAAGUUAUUUGAAGGGUUUCUUUGUAGUAAAUCUAUGCUUGGAGGAUUGUUCCAAGAAAGUUAUUUAAACUUAUGUAAUUGUAACCAAAUGAUGGAGAUUAAUUUUGGAAAUUAAAUGAACUUUGAGCUAUUAUCAAACUAUGUAUCUCUUUGGUGGAUUCCAUUGAGUGGUGAGUGUUUUAAACUCCGUAUCCUUAGCUUAACAACUUUAGAUGGUGAAUAUUUUCUGUAUCAUUUUGUUGUUUGUUGUGGUGGUGAGCUUGUGAUUUCUUGAGUGUGUGACGUUGUGCUUUCUCAUCUAUUGUGUCCGGUGUCAAAUUUGUGAAUAUUUUCUGUAUCCUUUUGUUGUUUGCUGUGGUGGUGAGCUUGUGAUUUCUUGAGUGUGUGACGUUGUGCUUUCUCAUCUAUUGUGUCCGGUGUCAAUGUCGGACGAAUUUUAAAUUUGAAGAUUUUGAAUUCCUUCGUGUUCGAUGUAAAAUGAUACACUUAAUUAACAUAUUCGAUAAGAAUUAAAUUAAGAGUUUCUAGCAAAGAAUGCCAAGAUUCAGACUAGGGGUGGGCAAAAUCGGGUUCGGGUCGGGUUCGGGUCAACCCGAUCGGGUUUUAGGUUGUUCGGGUUAGACAAGGAACAAUCCGAACAUAACCCGAAUUAAUGACCCGACCCGAACAUAGUUCGGGUCGGUUCGGGUCGGGUCAUUAAUUCGGGUUAUGUUCGGGUUGGAUUUAAAAUGGGUAGAAUUGAGUUCGGGUCAAUUUGGGUUAGUUCGGGUCAAUUCGGGUCAAUUUGGGUCAGUUCGGGUCAAUUUGGAUCAAUUCGGGUCGGUUGAAAUAGGGUCAGUUCGGGUCAGUUCGGGUCGGUUGAAAUCAGAUCAAUUCGGGUCAGUACGUUUUUUUUUUUUUUUAAGAACCCGAUCGGGUAUUCGGAUCGGGUCGGGUUUGACCCGAACCGAUCACAACCCGAUCGGGUUUGUAAAUUUCAAACCGAUCGGGUUUCGAUCCCGACCCGAUCCGACCCUAACCCGAAAUUUAUCGGGUCGGGUAAAAUGUCCACCCCAGACCUACCUCUAAAUUAAUUAAGUUAUCGCAUAGUUGAUUUUUUUUUUUUAAAGAGAAUCACUCUUUUUUCUAUCACAUCGAAUCAUUACAACUCAUUUAUUAAUGAGGACCUACAUGCUUGACUGAUAGGGGCUUGCAACCGGCCAGUGAAAAUAAUCCUUAGUUUUAGUAUAUGUCUAUGAUAUAUCUCAAUCAUAAAAUUUUCAAUCAUUAUAAUUAUUAUUUUGAGGAAAAAAAAAAGUGACCCCAGUAGACGAAGAAAUCGUUGAAGUAGUUAAGGGUCUUUAUCUAAGAGUAAUUCUCAUCUCUAUUCUGUAGCCACAUUUGUUUGAAAUCUAAAGCAGAUAAUAAUGUGAAAUAUUUGAUUUAAAAAAAAAAUAAAAUUGCACAAUUACUUCCAAACUUUUGAAGUUAAAAAAGGACCGCCAUUGUUUUUUUAAGAAUUAUACAAAUAUAACAUUUUAGUCUAAGUCAAAGAAUAAUAUCUCUUGUUGGACCAAAUUGAAUCAAAUAUGUUUGUACAAGCAUUAUGUAUUAAACUAAAUUUUUGUUAAGCACGGAAUCAAUUGUUAUUAGGUAAGAGAAAUUAAAAAAAACAAAAUUUGAAAUAAUAUUCAAUCCUCAUCAAAAACUUCAGUUCAGCUCCUAAUUCCUAUAUCCUUGCAUUGUAUUGAUGAUAUUAGGAUGAAUAAUUGUAAUUAAAUAGACCUUAUUUGAUAUUAAAUACUGUAAUUUUUAAACUAUAAUUGUUGUAAAAAAAUAUAAUGAUAAAAUAUAAUUAUGUAAUAAAUAUAAUUUUUAUAUAAUAAUUUUAACAAAAAUAAUAUAAAUAUUAUAAAUUUUUUAUCAUUUAAAUAUAAAAUUAAGUUAACUCAACUUUCAUAUUAUAAUAAUUAAUACUUAUCAAAUAUUAUUACAAUUUUUUAAAUAUAAUUGUCCAACUAUAAUAUUAAAUUGGGCUUAUAAUCGUUGAUGUCAAAGUACGCGAUCUUUCAAAAGUUGACGUUUAAUGAAAUAAAAAUUUCUUGACCUUCCAUUAAAGUCCUCUUUAUUGACUGUGAGUCAAUAAAGAAAACUGUACAUUACAUUAAAUGGAAGGGAGCCGCUUCCAUGAAAUAAUCUUUUAUAUAUACAGUGAUGAUAAUGACAUCACUGGUUUGAACUUUUACAUGUCCUCAUUUCCAAAUUCAAAAAAUAAAAAUCUUUGACAUCUGAGCACGCGAUGCGCGUGCGGCCUAAAAUAAUCUCAUCCCUGGAAUUUAUGUUCCCACGUCAUUGGUUGAGAUGAUGAUAACAAUAGUGAGGAAGAAAAAUAUACUUUCUCACACCUGAUAACCGGCAAAGUACGAUAAUAUAAUAUAUUUUAAAUUGGACGAUUUUUAAUAUAAAAAAAAGAGCUUUAAAAAUGAAAGCAUUAUGGAGUCUUAGUUAAUGAAAUUAAGAUCAGUUCGAUCAUCAUCAUCAUCACACAACAUGUUGAGAUAUGUAUUUUUAUUAAAACAAAAGUUAUAGACCUGACAUCCCUAACAGUACAGUGAUGAAUAUCUGUCAAUUAAUGUCUUCUUCCUUAAUUAGCAUUCACUCUAUUUUACUCCACUAAAAGCUUAAUUAUCAUCUACCAUGAUGAUUUUAAAUUGAGGUGUUAAAGAAAGAGAAAUUAAUUGUUAAUGUCUUCUGACUUUCUACAGCUCACUCUGAAUAUAUAAUUAAUUGUUUUCUAAAAGAAUCAUGCUACUACGCAUACACACAAUGAAUUUAUGUCAAAAUAAAGAAAGAAAAAGAAAAGAAAACCCCAGGGCGGUGGCUAGCUAGCAAGAGAAUUAAUUAAUGGGAAGAAAUUAAAUGAAUACGUUUACCUUCAGCAGGGUCGGUCGUAGUAGUGGUGUUAUUUUGAGCGUCGGAUAAACCAAUUAGCAGGAAGAGAUGAGCAAAUAGUGUGCAGGAAGAAAGUAGCAGCUUCACUGAUCCCACUCCAAAAUUCAUCUUCUCUCUCAUCACGAUUUACAAACCCAGAAUAAACAGAAUUUAACGCUAAUAAUUGAAUCUAUACUCUCAUAGUUUUGUUGAAGUUAAAGAAUAUAUAGAAGGAGAAGCUAGCCAGAGUCGGUCAACAUUUGUUUUCUUAUUUUUUUUCCAAUCGUCCAUUUUACGAAGUGGUUCAAAAAAAAAAAUGCAUCUUAAAGCUGUGGCAAGAGGUGUUUUUUAAAAACAAAAAAUAGAGAAAGAAAAGGUGAACGGUAGACACAAGAGGUACAAUAAUUAUACGUAACCUAUCAUAUAUAAAAGAUGAAAGUUGGCAGCUUGACGAAUCCUUUCAUGUACAUAUUGGCAAUACCCAUAUAUAUAAAAGCCAAUUGACGGGCUUUUUUUUUUAAAUUUUGGUGUUUUGCUAUGCGUGUAAAGAAAAAACUUCGAGUGCAUCAGAAAUUGACCAAAUUCAACUCUCGUGUAUGUACAUUGCGUCCUAAUCUUGUUGUUAUCAACUGCCCGUUUAUUGACGCAAACUCAACAUAACACUGUAUACGGAUGCGAUUCGUGGUACAUAAAAGUUAGAAUACUGCAGAAAAAUAAUACAUGACAACUAAUGUACUCUUAUUACAAAAUUCUUAAAAGUUAAACAAAAAUACUUGCAAUGAGGCACCACCUCGACUAUUACAUUAACGGAUUGUUGAACUAAACUUAUUCCCUUAUUAUUAUUAUUAUUAUUAUUAUUAUUUGUUGAGUAAUAAAAAAUACUAGGCAGGUAUCUCCCCAUUCCAUACCUAGGGAUGAAUCUCCCCGACUGAAUGAUACGAGCAGAUUCCUGGUAGUAUAUUUUUUAUGGAGCACAUGCCGACUAGAAACGAAUACCGACCAGGUACUUGUCACUCAAAGAAAGAGGACAUGAUCUCACCAACACACGACAGUUUUGUCAUGCCCCAACACAAGACCCUACGUUUACCCACGUUCGGUUGUUGAAGACCCAUUAAGGCCCUUAAUCACCCGAAUAUGACGGGCAUGAAAAAUACUCUGAGAAAGUGGGAUAACGGCCUAUAAAAGGCUGAGAAAUCAAUGAAAAAAGGGGACACAAAAAAAAAGAAAAAAAGAAUGGGAAACUCUGCCAAAUUAAUAUCACGCAUUACUACAUAAACAUCCCGAAUACACUUUUUCUAGACACAUUACAGUUAACGUGCAUAAACAAAAAUCAUAUAGUUUUCAUGUAAACCCCGCAUACUGACUUAAGCAUCGGAGGGUUUGCGCUGGAAAAACCACCGGCACCUCUGAUUUGUUUCUGUGCACGCAGGUCUGAAAUGAAGAAGACAAGUCAUUUGAGUCCAAGGAGCUCGGGUAAUUGCAAAAGCUUGUGGAGUGCAACCUUCUUGUCAUAAUCAAUACAACCGUUGGUGAUCCAAUUUGGUCGGGCAAAGGGCGACCAGAUUUCUGCAUCAACAUUAUUAUUAUUAUUAUUAUUAUCUGUUGAUUUUUUCAGAAUCGACCUCUUUCUUAUUGAUUAUUUAUUCCCUUUUCUGAAUUCUCUUUUCUUUCACGUGUUCUCACAACUCACAUUCCACUUUGCACUUAAUUUGCAAUAGAUAUAUGAACACAUUGAACUUUUUCAAGCUCAUGACAUUGGCUCAUCCUCUGUAUAUCUCUAUGCAUGAAAUCAUAAACCGGUAAAAUAUUAGUUGGCAAACCCUUAGAAUUGUCAAUUAGAUGAUUAAUAACACAUCAACUACUUCUUUUAAAAUGUAUAUAAGUAUACCAACUACUUGGACAAAAUGAGAAAGUCUUAGGUUAGAGUACGAUUUCAUUGUGCCAUCAUGUAAUCAUCAAAUCACGUAACAAGAAGUGAUGUCACAAUAUCAUAAUUAAUAUACUUGUCAGUAAUUUCAACGCUGUAACAAUUGUAUCAUGCAUAGCCAGGGCAGAUCCAGAAAAUUAGCUUAUAGGGGGCCAACAUAAUAACAGAAUAAAAUUUCUUAAUGAAAAUAGAUAUUGAUUAUGUGUUCAUUGGGGGCAAUAUAAUUAUGUAAGUAACUAUGUAAUUUCAUGAAAAUAUUAGAAAACAUAUAGAAAACUAAGGAAAAAUAAAAGCUCACCGGGUCAGUUGCCCACUGUACUGUAGGCACAAUGUGAAUCUGUCCCAGCGUAUGGCACUAGGUGAUUGGUGGUUCUGGUAUUGCGGUCGUAUACUGAUCAAUACAGUCCUCCUAACAUAAAACUUUCUUCACUUCUUAUAUGCCUAUUAUAAUAUUUUUUUAAAAAAAUUAAAAAUUAUUUUUAUUUGGUUUUUUAUUAAUAAUGUUUUAUUAUUCAUUCCAUCAAGUUCGCAAGCGAAUUGAAAAGAAGAACUAGUGGUUUUGGCUUCUAUGAUCACAUGCAUUGUAAUAUUGAUUUUGAUUUUUUAUUUAUUUACUUACAUAAGACCGAAACCGAGAGAUUGAAAAAAUCAAAUUAAGAAAUGCAUGGGAUUUUUAUUCGUGAUAAAAAUUAAGAAUGAAAUGUUAAAUUAGUGUGAUAUCGUGGUAAUUAAUUUGACCAACAUGCAAUCUCAUUGAUUGGUUUUUCAUUGAAGAGCAACAUGGAACUUAAGUAGGCAGCAUAAGCAUAUGGUUGUUUUCAACUAUUUAUAAAGCAACAAACGAUACAGAAGAGUUUUAGAUUUCUAUCUCGGCUUGGAAACUCUUUCAUUGAAGACUUUCUACUUAAGACAAUCAUCUUCUUAGAGGAAUGUACAUUGUUUCUGCUGCCAAUUUUGUGCAACUAUGCGAGCGAGGAAACUAUCAACCAGCUUUUUGUUAGUUGCCAUUUUGCUAAAGAACUUUGGGAUUGGCUGUUGUUUAACGAUUGCUCCCCACCCCUGGCAAUGUUUGCGAUCUUCAAGAGUUUAUUUUAAGCAAACUAUUUCCUUCUCAUACAUCUCGCAUGUGUGGUUGAUGAUUUCUCUUGUGAUUUUGUACCAUAUUUGGAAGGUUAGGAAUAAGCUGAAGUUUGAAAAUAUUAGACCUUCAAUUACUCAUAUUAAACAUCAAUAUUUUAGGCUAUAUCUCUCACUUGAGAAAGUUAUGCUCAAGCUUUCUAAGCCUUUCUCACUUUUUUCCUAUUUAUAACAUACUUAGUUUGAACAGUUAUCUUUUCACUUUUCUAAAGAUCUUUACAAUUUUAUGGCAUCGUUCGAUUUUUUUAGGGUUAAAGUUAAUACUGAUAGUCUUGCUACAUUAAGGAAAUUAUGAUCCAACUUCUUGUGGGGUUAUUUAUAGAGAUUCUCAUGAAAUUUUUUUCGGUUGCUUUGCUAUAUCAAUAGGGAAUGAAACCUCUUUUUUUUUUUUUGUAGCUUCUGAAUAUAUAUAGCACAAGGGUUGUCAUUUAUUGUGGCUAGAAUUUGAUUCCAUGGCUGUUUAUUCUUUCCUAAAAAGCAAUAUCUUAUCUCCUCCUUGAUACUCCAUAAAGCCAAUUUCAAUACAUACAGAAGCUCCAAUCGAGAAACUUUUCCAAUAAAUGAAGGCAAGGGGCCAGUGAAGAAAUUUUGAUCAAUUUUCCUACAAAAUUCAAAGAGAAAUUGUUAAUCAUGAUGAUCACGUAAAUUUGAUUUAUACAUCCAAACUGAAUGAUCGAAAAAUAUCUGAGUGAAAAAUUCAUACAGAAAUGUCAGAUAUUGCAAAGUUACUAGUUCUUCAGGAAUCACCCCUUUUUUGUUUAGUGCAUAUACUCUCCUGCAACAAAAAAAAUCAAACAAACCAAACCAUGAGAUUGCAACUGCAUCAGCCAUUUUAGGAAUUAAUAUUAAUUAACAAGUGUAGAGAUAAAUUAAGAGAGCAUUGCAGUUUAGAAAUGUGGCAAGUAGCACCAUUGUCAAAGGUACAGUCACAUACAAUAGCAGGAUUGUUAUUUCGGCUCUCAAAUUCAGAAUCAGUUGCAUUGAGUGCAGAUCCACUGCAUGGGUUUCCACUUAUGUUCCAUAAUCGCACCGCCAGUGGUUCCCAUUGUUGCAGUAUUGAGUUCAAUGCCCUCACUGCUCAUCAAACACAUGCAUGCAUGCUAGUUUUGUUACCAAAUGAUAUCAUUUAAUUCCAUAAAUUCAUUAAUAUAUUGUGAUGCACCUGCAUGCUUGUAAGCCAAACGCGGCUGAUUUUCAAAAGCAACAGCAAGCUGUUUGCUUUAAUUAGAGCACACGCAUGCUUCACCUGCGUGCUUGUCAUGCAUGCUUAUAGACGGUGUGGACAUAUAAAGUGAAGAAUUGAAGCAGCUCUCACCAUUUUCAUAAAUCGAACAGAAAAAAACAAUUGGAAGAUAGAAGAAAUUGAAAGAAAACGAGAGAAAGAAAGAAAAGAAAAGAAAAGAAUAGAUAAAAUAGAAAGGAGAAAAUAAAAGCAAAAGGGAAAGAAAAUCAAGUAAUAAUGGAAGCUAUUAAGGGAAUGUUACGGGGACAUGGAAUUCAACACUUAGAUUUAUAUUUCGAGAAUUAGUGGGUAAUGGAUUUAGAAAGUAUGAACAGUUAUAUUAUCAUUUUUAGCAUACGUGUGAGUUUUUAUAUCAUUUCUAACAGUUAAUUUUUUAUAAUAGUUUUUUAGUCAAGAAUUUUAAAAUGUGGAAAAAGUUCGGGAAAUCUUCAAAAACGCAUGGUUUUAAAGUAUUAUGAAAUUAACACUUUAAAACCGCAGAGUUUUAAAGCUUUCCCGAAUUUUCUUGCACUUUAAAAUUCUAGAUUAGAAAAUUUCUAUAAUUUUUGAAUCUUGUGUUCAAAAGAAAUUCAAGUUCCUAUGAAUUAACAGAAGCCCCACAAAACAAAACAAUAAUUGAGUCAGGAUUUGUGAGCAUAUUCUUAUUAUUACUAUUUUGUAUUAUGUGAACUAUUUAUGAUUUAGGAGCAAAAGCUCGUUUAGUCCCUAUAUUUUUAAAAAUACCUCAAAACAUCCCUCUCGUUAAACUAUUGACACCCUUGCGGUUAUUUUUUUUUUCCUUUUCACUUGCUUUUAUAAUAUUACUCUCUUACAAUAAUGUUUCUUUUUUUGGACAUUAAUAAAAAAAAUUAACUUAACAAUUUAACCCAAAAAGUGAAAUAAACACAAAAAGAAUAUCUAUUAAUUUUUGUGGAAGCUCAUGUAUGUCCAAAAAAAAUUAAUAUUAUGUAAAAAAUAUUAAAUUACCAAUUCUUGGACAUUAAUAAAAAAAUUAAUAUAUUAACUCCUCAACGGAGUAUUUCACAAAAACUAAUAUUAAUUCUUUUUGUUUUCAUUUUAUUUGUUUGGGUAAAAUUGGUAAUUUAAUUUUUUUUAUUAAUGUCUAAAAAAUUAUUAUAAGAGGGUAAUAUUAUAAAAGCAAACUAAAAAAAAAAUAACGACAAGGGUGUCAAUAGUUUAACAACAUGGAUCUUUUGAGGUAUUUUUAAAAAUAUAGAAACUAAACAGGCACUAACCUCAUAAUGUAGGGACUAAACGAGCUUUUAUCCUAUGAUUUAAUAUCAUGUCAUGAUUAUAUGUAUGCUCAUUAUAUGAUUGACUGAGUCACUAGACGUGAUUGCCAAGCACCAUAUGCGUACUCUUCUCGUUAAGUGCUUUGCGUAUGUAUAUUGAGAGUUAGAGUACUUUGCCUAUGUGAUUUAGUUAAAUUCCACUGGAUAUUGAGAGGUUCUUCCCCGCUCUACUCACGCGAUGAUAAUCCUAAUGAGUAUGACAAUUAUUUUCCCUGAGUAUUAUUUAGUGUAGUUUUCUCAUGUAUGAUUUCAUGUUUGCUUAUGUAUUAUGUUCAGUUCACUAUUUUCUUAUUUAUCCAAUUUCUUCUAGGUUUCUGUAGGAUUUCAUAUAAUUUAUUUUCCAAUUAGUUGAGGUUGGGCCACGACGUGCAGUGCUACAUGACUCGCAUUUUAAGCAUGUUUAUGCUCAUAUGUAUAUAUUUAAGAUAUAUGCAUAUAUAGUGAGAUGUGAAGUGUGCAAGUUUCGAAUAUGUUUUCAGAUAAAGCAUAGAUGUUAUUAUAUAUUUUCACGUGAUUUGGAUUAGACCGACAGAUGGGUCCAGUGGGGUCGUGUCACACACACACACACACACACUCAUGUAGUCGACCUCUAGUGUGGGUGUCAUCAUUUUUUUCAUGCGGACAUACUUUUAAACCAUAUUGUUUAAGAGAGUUAGGAUUUUUCACUCUCUUAAGUCGUAUAGUUUAAAAAUGUGUCUGCAUUAAAAAAAAAAUAUGAGGGCGCCUACACUUGAGAAUUAUUAGGUAUAUAUAUGUAAUCAUUCUCAGGUUUGGGUGCUUUUUUUUUUUAAUAUGGACACGUUGUUAAACCGUGCGAUUUAAUAGCGUGUUUAAGGUUGGCAAAAACACGGGCCUGAAGCUCGGUCGACAUGAGUUGAGCCUGAGUAUGGGCUUAAAAAUACAAAGCCGACACAUAAUGGACGUAGAUAAGGGCCUAGCUUUUUAAUUUAUAAAAAAAUUAAAUUUAAAUAAAAACUCAAAAUAUUAAAUUAAUAUUUUUUUCAUAUUAGUAUUUGUGAUUUAUUAUAUUGUGUUAAUAAUAUUUUGUGUAUUACACUAUUAUUCUAUUAUAUACUGGAUAAUUAUUUUUAAUUUAAAUAUUUUUUACUUUAUUAAAAAUUUAUUUUAUAUUUAAUGGAACAAGCCCAAGCUUGGCUUAGGGCUUGCCUGUCCAAACUUGGACAGAUUUUUGAAGUAUCUAGGCUUGUUAUCUAUAAUAUGGGCUUGACCCUAGAUUUGGAAAAGUCUAACACAAGCCCAUAUUUUGCCAACCUAAGCAUGUCAUCAUUGACUCUAUUAAAUCCCACGGUUUAACAAUGUAUUGGCAUGAAAAAAUGAGGGCCCUCACAUUAGAGAAAGAUUAUAUAUGUACACUUAUUAGAGUUAAUGCACUUUAGAUAUGAUUAUAUAUAAAAUCAAUGUCUUUUUUUAAUUAUUAAUUAAAUAGUGAAUAUGUAGAACGAAUUUUAAAUUCGAAGAUUUUGAAUUCCCUCGUCUACGAUGUUAAAUUAUACACACAAUUAACAAUUUUGAUAAAAAGUGAUCCCAUUAGGUGAAGAAAUCAUUAAAGUUAAAUAGUUAAAGGCCUUUAUAUAUGUAACCUCGUUUGUUUGAAGUCUAAAGAGAUAAUAAUGUGAAAUAUAUGAUUUAGGAAAAAAAAUUGAAAUUGCACAACUACUUUCACUUUUUGGAAACAGAAAAAGUCCACGAUUUUUUUUAAGGAAUUUUAGGACUCAGACUUAUAUAAAUAUAAAAUUUUAGUCGAAGUUAAAAGAAUAACAUCUCUAAUUGGGCAAAAUGAAACACAUAUAUUUAUAUCCUGGUUAAGAAUUCAGUUUUAAUUUAUGUUUUUUGCUAAACAAUGAACCAAUAGUUAUUGUGCAAAUAUAUAUAUAUUUGGCUAGAUCACGUAUUAACCAAUAGUUACGUGAUCUGGCUAGCAAGAGAAUUAAUUAACGAGGAGAAAUUAAAUGAGUUAAAGAAAAUGGAUAUAUAUACCUUCAGCAGGGUCGGUCGUAGCAGUGGUGUUAUUUUGAGCGUUGGAUAAACAAAUUAGCAGGAAGAGAUGAGCGAAUAGUAGUGAGGAAGAAAGCAGCAGCUUCAACGAUCCCACUCCAAAAUUCAUCUUCAUUUCUCGUUACAAUUUACAAACCCAGAAUAAGGAGAAUUUAAUGCUAAUUUUUGAAUCUAUAGUUUUGUUAAAGUUAAAGCAUAUGUAGAAGAAGAAGAAGCUGGCCAGAGUCGGUCAAUAUUUGUCUUUUUCUCCAGUCGUGCAAGCAUUUUAAGUCGUUCCAUCUAUCAAAGAAAAGUCGUUCAAAAACAAAAUAAAAAAUAAAAUAAAAUAAAAAUGUAUCAGAAUUGACCAAAUUCAACUCUCAUAUGUGCAUAAUAAAAAAAUAUAAUACAUUGCAUCCUCACCAAUAUGAUGAAAUCUUAGUGUCUCUUUCCCCACCCUCACCUGAUUAUUAUUAUCCACUGCACUUUUGCUGACGCAAACUCAACAUAAAAUUGUACCAACUUAUUCAGGCAAUCCCUAUCUUACAUGCAUGUAAGAUACAUCUCCCUCACAUGAACAGUACAUGUGUGAGACUCAUGCAUUGUUCAUGAGAAUGUAUCUUAUAUGCAGAUAAGAUAGGAGAAUCACCUAUUCAAUUUAGUUUUCGUUUUAAAAAGUAUACGGAUGGGAUUCGUGGCAGAUAAAAGUUAAAAUAAUGAGUCCAUAUAUUGUAUGCACACACACACACAAAUGAAUGAUAAUGUGCGCGUAUUAUAAAAUUCUUAAAAGCUAAACAAAAAUACUUACAAUGAGGCACCACCUCGCCUUUUAUAAUAGCGGGUUGUAAAACUGAAGCUAUUCCCUUAUUAAUUAUUAUUAUUUAUUUAUCUGUGACCUCUUUCUCAUUGAUUCCGCUUUCCGAAUUUUCCUUGCUUUCACGUGUUCUUACAAAUUACAUGCCACUUUGCAACUUGAAAGAAAUGAAGAAAGUUUGUUUGGCUUGAGAGAAAAUCUCAGAGAAAAUGUUUCCAAUGAAUUCCAAAACUUUCAUUGACUAAUCAAUCAUUACAGUGAUGCAUUUAUACAUGCUUAACAACAACUGAGCUAAUCACAAUUCGUUACAUAAACAUUGUAUGUUAACAACAAUCCAACAAACUAGUGCUGAGCUGAAAGCUGAGUUGGCAUUCUUCUUAACAACUUGUGCUGACCUGGCAGUAUUGCUCUGUGUAAGCAUGAGCUUGUUUUUCUUCUUAUCUGAAAGUUCUGAGUAAUGAGCUACUCAAACACAACUUGCACUACAUUUUAUAAACACGUUGAACUUUAUCAAGCUCAUGAUACUGCCUCAUCCUCUGUAAAUCUCUAUGCAUGAAAUCAUAAUCGGCAAAAUAUUCGUUGGUAAACCCUUCAAAUUGUCAAUUACAUGAUAAUAACAUGUCAACUACUUUUGAAUAAUAAUAAUAAUAAUAAUAUUAUUAUUAUUAUUAUUAUUAACAAAUUACGAGAGUAAGAAUAAUAAGAAUAUAAUAAUAUUUUAAUCGAGGACAAAAAUAAAAUUAUAAAAUUUUAAAUUUAAAUGGGUAAUAUAUUUCAUUCUAGUUUUUACUUUUAUUUAUUAAAUAAACACUAUUCAUUAUUUUCAUUCCAAAUUUUGAUAUUUCAAUCUAAAAGUAAACACACUAAUAAUAAUAUGAAUGAUGCACUGGAUUUCAUUCAAAUGAAGGAGCUUUGGAUGCUGAUGAUGAUAAUAAGAAAACUACAAGGUUGCUUUCUUGCAAAUACGAAUCUGCCCGUCUAAAAAGAAAAUUUCAGAACAAAAAACAAGCUAAAAAUUAUUGAAAUGAUCUAUUCAUCCUAUAAAUAUAAAGGUACCGUAUUUUGAUGAUUAAAAUUUAAAAAAAAAGGCCCUACUCUUCAACAACGUGUCAAGAUCCCCUGUAAUCAGCCGGCAGAUUUUCCAUCUACAUUAGCUUUUAACUGAAAAAUGAAGUCAAUACGACUUAUUGAAGGGUGAUUCACCAUCUACAAAUACAUAUGUUGCAAAUUCUUUUUUUAAAAAAAAAAAAUUUGAGGACAUUUUCAUAUUAUUUAGAUACAUUGAUGCCUUCCCAAAAUGAGAAGUUUUGUUGCUGUUCGAACUACGAAAACUUUGCACUCCUAGUCAUAUAACAGUUAUUUGCGCUAUACAUAUGCAUCGACUGUAAUUGCUAGAAAUAGCCCCGCAAGAGAAAUUGAAGGCACGAUAAGAAGCAGAUGAUUCCUCCACCAGCACUAGACUGUCUUUGUUUCAGAAACUAGACAAUAGUAAGAUCACAGCAGCGAGCGACAAAAAUAUUUCUCACCUCCCUUCUGCUAUGAUAUCAGCAAGCUGUGUGACAUUUACUGGGGAGACUAAUGCACCAGUUCCUUCACUAUGAUCAUCAACUGGAUUUUCUAUUUCGCUUUUCUCCUUGCUGUUACUUCUUUUAAUAGGUGAUGAAGGCGUUGGCGUGUCUUCGUUCAAAAAGCUUGCUGUUAUAUCUUUAAAAUCCCAAUCUGUCAAAUAACUUGGCUUUGAAAUAACCGUGCCAACUUCUACAUCCCCAGCAAGCAUGGCCACAACGCGUGACAUCGGUGGCCUCAUCAUUGGUGAUGCUUGAGUGCACAAGAGAGCUACUCCUAUCACUCGAAGGGCUUCCUUGUCGUUAAACUCUGUUAAUGUAGGAUCUACAAGCCCCAAACUUUGAUUAUUUUCAUGGAGAUUCCAA
rnacentral:lncRNA from 1 species